rnacentral:lncRNA from 1 species
UCCAAUCAUCCUCGAAAAUAAUAUCUUAGUAAUAAUUAUGAUUUUCUUCCGUUACCAAAAGACUUAGGUAGCGUUUGUUUUUUUGUCUGAAAGCUAAAUGAGUUUGAAUUUUUCUAAAGUCUGAAUGGGUUUGAAUAAGAAAAUUUGAAUGACAUGUUUGUUUUUCUUUUUUUAAUAUCUUAAUAUAAGUGGCAUCUUGUUUGUUUUUACAAUAAAAAACAUCUUAAACUUAGUUGUUUUCCAUUUAUGUUCUUGAAAAUUAAAACAAAAAAAGAGAAUUACAUUUUAUAAUUUAGGAAAUAAGUUAUUUUACAGAAAUAUUUUUGAAAUAUAAUAUUUACUUGUCAUUAAGAUAUUUUCUCAUUCAGAUAAAAAUCACAAAAAUUUACUUUUUCUAUUCAGAUGUAAAUGUCUGAAAAUCAGAUAUAAGUUCUAAAAAACAAACAAGUAAAUUUUAGAAAAUGUAUGAAAUUAAUAAAAUUUCAUAUUUUAGACAUUUAAUAAACCUCUUAGUGCUUCAGGAGAGCAAGAAGAGAAACAAAGAGUGAAGAUGCAAUAACAGCACCGGAAACCGGCAGAGAGGAGGCUGCUCCGGUGUCCGAUGAAGGAGCCGGUGCCGGCGCCAUCUCGGUGCUUUGAGCUGAAGCUGCAGCCAUUGCAAGAGCUGCCAAAACGAACAUCAUCAUAACGGACUUUAAGCUGCUAAUUUGCGCCAUCUAUAUUGAUAUUAAUUGCUGAAGAAAAACAAGAAGCAAGAACUAUAUAUGAAAAUAAAGAAUUGAUUCAGUAAGCAAGUUAUGGGCAAUGGCUCCGUUAAAUGUUAGGUGGUGCUUAUAAUUAUAUAGUGAGGUGUAUGCGCGGCUUGUGGAGCACGCUUUGAUCUGUGUGACAGCAAACGUGUUGUGUUUGGUUUGGUUUUCGCCGCAAAGCGUAUCUUGACAGACUCAGAUUGGUUGGAACUAAAAACAUGGGACCGAGUGGGAUCUGGAACACGUUGGCACGUGGUAGUUGGACUGACGAUGUUGACCAUUGUUAAGUCGGUAAACGGUUGCGUGCCUUAAAUAUGUAGUUUACAAGCAUGUGUAAUGAAUUGAUUAGAAUCUACAGAUUGACAGUGGGUAAAGAUCAUUAAAUUAAAAUAUAUAUAUAUAUUGAAGGGGCUCCAAGUCCUCCAUUUCUAAGAAAUGAUUCGUUCCUAAAGUUCUGAGUAUCCAUCUUCUAUUUAUUGAUGGCCCUUUGAUGUUUAACUUAGAGUUUGAUUUAUAAAAAAAUAUUAGAGUAAUUUGAAGGAUAAGUCUUACUCCUCUAAUGAUCUCUCUCUCAUUUGUUAGAUGAGAAAAUGGUCGGCCACUACUAGUUAGAAUCUUGAUAUGUUAUCUAUUUAUAUAGCACAAUCUUAGAUGAGAGUUAUUUUUUUUCCCCUUAAUUCCUUCCUUGUCAUUAUUUUUAUUUCUUUUUAAUUACUUAAGGUCAUGGAUACAUAGUUCAAUAAGAAUUUGCUAUACAAAUUUGGCAAUAGAGAAGGACUUUUGUGAGGCUAUCUGAGACAGUCUAGUAGUGUUUUAUCAUGUGACAUAACAGUGAUCUCAUUAUGAGAUCAACAGUAAUUCUUAUAACAAGAUCUAUUAAAUUUAAUAUUAAAAAUAUCAGUGAAUCUUACAAUAGAACUCAUCGCUCUGCCAACUUUAAACUGUUUCAUUACCUCAACAUGCUGAGCUAAUAAGACAGUUCCACACAUAAUUUUUUUCUUGGCAAACUCAGAAAGUUUUAAGAGGUGCCACCAUGUGUAUGUAUUGUAUAAUCUACAAUUUUAUAAACAUAUAAAGCCAAGAGUUAAAAAGACACCCAACCCACAGGAUUUGUGCUGAUGCACGGUAGUCUUCCAUUUGUUUCAAGAGUGAAUAGACAAAUAUUCAAGAAAUAAAAAUAUUUAUAUACGAGUCAUCAUAUAAUAUAGGAUCCUGAUCUAUUUUUCGCAGUCGUUUUAUCACUUCCCAAAUGAAAGCUAGACACCAGUUAAUGUACUGCCUUAAUUGCUCCAUUAACCAAACCUGUCAGUGCCUACAGACCUCCAAAACUGGAACUGGAUAUCAUGAUUAUAUAUGUUUAUACGCUGCUCACCAACCCGUAGACCAAUCAUCACCAACACGUAUAUAUAUGCUGUACCUGCACGUGGCUACCUCAGACGAAAAGAAGCUCUUAUAUAUAACCAUCACAAACGUUGAACCGAACCACUUGUAAGCUCGGAUAGCAGUUUCAAGUUCUUCAACACUUUAACAGUAUAUAUAUAUAAUACAAUGGCGACAGUUAGUAACUCAAAAAAGGCCGUGAAUGCGAUGAUGGGGUUGGUUUUGGCAACUUUUGCAAUGGCUGCUUCCGUGUCGGCGCAAAGUACCGAGAUGGCGCCGGCGCCGGCUCCUUCGAUGGACACCGGAGCUGGCUUCUCUCUGCCGGUUUCUCUUGCCGUCGUUGGUUCUUCCCUCGUUUUAUCUCUUCUUGCCCUGUUGGAGCAUUGAAUGGAAAUUCGUUGUGUGUUGAAAAAGAGGUUGUAUUUUGAGGGAAUGGAGAUACAUAUAGUAUUGCAUUUAUUCUUUGCUUUUUUUAUCUAUCAAUAUUUGUAUUAUUAAUGAAUUAUUAAUUAAUAAUAUUUCAUCUUUUUUUUUCUCACUUUAUUCAUUUGGUUUUUCUUCUUUACUACUGAGAAAAAAAAAUCUAUAAAAAAUCUUAAUUUCCAUUAAACGGGCCCAUUGAUGACUCAUUCUUUUAUUUUUUUGAUAAGAAUCUGUAGGCAUGCUGUUGCAAAUUUCUUGUAUCAAAUAAAAAAUAAUUAGUUAACAUCUCUUAAAACAAAAUUGCAUUUCUCGUAAUUUUUUAAAUUGGUGGGAACUAAUUAGAGCGUGGGCUUAGCAGAUGAUUUUACAAAUUGAAGAGCAAAACUGAAAUUAAUCCUUAAUCUUGGCAAAUAAACUCAAGCUCUUCUGCCCCUAGAGGUGCUUGAUUUAAUAGUUUUUAAACAGUUUCAUUUAACCGAUUAAGAGACAAUAAGAAAUUAAAAUCUCAAAAUCUCAACUGGAUCCCAUUUCAACCAUUUUUUUUUUAAUUUUUAAUUUUACAUCAAAUUUUCAAAUUCAAUAUUCUGAUCUACUUGUAAAUUAGAUCUUUGAUAAAACAACUGUACUAGAGAAUUAGCAAUUUUAAUUGUAUCUUGGGUGUUUUUCAGUUCAAUUUCGAAUCUUUUUAAAAUAUCAUCCAAAUGUCAAUUUAUUAUUAAUUAGAAUAUGGUAAGCGAAAUAUUUAGACUAUUUGGGACAUUGAUACGAGACCCGUACACAUUUUAAAGAGAUUCCGACCCAUCUCAUAUUCUCAUACCAUUACCAUCUGUACUAGAUCUUGGAUCCAUUUGUAUACACAUGUAAUGCCUAUUUCAUUAUUUUACAUGGAAUAACAAAGUCUAAUCUAAUUUGAGAGUGUACGUAUCUUUUUAUUAAUUUAUUUCCUUAUUUUAAUAGAUAAUGAUAACCUAAUAUAAAUUGUGGAAUUUCUUUCCAUCUAUAAUUAAGAAGAAAUUGACACCUGCAAUAUACGUUAACUUUCCUUGUUAGAUAUAAUAUAUUAAAUGCAUCUAUUAAAUAAAGCAUAUGAAUUGGAAAAAUACUCAUCAUUCAUUAUUUAUCUCUCUACAUUUGGUUAGUGAUAUUAACUAAUAUAAUAUUAAUGAAUCAUUUUUUAUAAUCUUAAACUAUUUUUCUUCUCAUUUGAAAAAUUACAUCAGUACGUAGUAAAGAUUUUAAAAUUCCUUUUAAAUAAGAUUAUUCUCCUUUCUUAUCAAUAUUGAAAAGUGAUUGUUUUCUCUUCAAAUAAUAUUAUAUUUUUUAUAUUAUCAAUAUUGAAAAGAUAGAAAUAAUAUAAUUAUAUUAUUGAAAAUAAUACAAUUUAACAUAAAUUUAUUUUUAUUUAAAGAGUAUUUAAAAAUUUUUAUUUUUUCACUCUUCUAUUUGUCACAUAUUUAAGUAAAUAAGUACCUAAAGAAAUAUUAAAUGAACCAUUUGGAGAUAUUUUCACUUUAUAUUAUUAUUUGAACAAGUGUAAUCUAAUCAUAAUUUUAAGUUCCGAUUGUCCAACUUUAAUACCAACUCAGUCCUUAACUUGUUCUCGUUGGAAAUUAACGUACUACUUAAAUAAUAAUAAUAAACUACAAGUGAUUGAACUCAAAAGAAAAACCAAAUGAAUACAGAAAGAAUAAGUAUUAUUAUGUCAUUAAUAGUAUGAAAUAUGAAAAGAACAAAUAAAUAAUUCAAUACAUUAAUCUCCAAUCAUCCUCGAAAAUAAUAUCUUAGUAAUAACAAUGAUUUUCUUCCAUUACCAAACGACUUAGUGCUUCAGGAGAGCGAGAAGAGAAACAAACAGCGAAGAUGCAAUAACAGCACCGGAAACCGGCAGAGAAGAGGCUGCUCCGGUGUCCGAUGAAGGAGCCGGUGCCGGGGCCAUCUCGGUGCUUUGAGCUGAAGCAGCAGCCAUUGCAAAAGCUGCCAAAACGAACACCAUCAUGACUGACUUUAAGCUGCUAAUUUGCCCCAUCUGUGUUAAUAUUAAUUGCUGAAGAAAAACAAGAAGCAAGAACUAUAUGUGAAAUCAAAGAAUUGAUUCAGUAAGCAAGUUAUUGGCAACGACUCCGUUAAAUGUUAGGUGGUGCUUAUAUAGUGAGGUUUAUGCGCGGCUUGUGGAGCCCGCUUCUGAACUGUGUGACAGCAAACUAGUUGUGUUUGGUUUGGUUUUCGCUGCAAAGCGUAUCUUGACAGACUCAGAUUGGUCGGGACCGAGUGGGAUCUGGAACACGUUGGCACGUGGUAGUUGGACUCACGAUGUUGACCAUUGUUAAGUCGGUAAACGGUUGCGUGCCUUAAUCAUGUUGUAUACCAAGCAUGUGUAAUGAGUUGAUUCAUAUCUACAGAUUGUUUGUGGGUAAAGAUCAUUAAAUUAAAAUAUAUAUAUGUUCACCAUCGCUGAUGUUGCCACGCUACAUUAUCCUUUAAUUUUCUAAUAGAUUUUUUAAAUUAAUGAAAAAAAAGAAAAAUCAAUGCAUUAAAUUGUACCAAAUGUUAAUCUAUUUAAAUGCUGAACAUUAAUUAACUAAUUAGCAGUGAUAUUAGAACAGAGUAAGUGUACAAGGAUAGCGUAAAUAAUAAUUAUAAUUUCGUUUGAGUUUAAAUAUUUUAUUUAUAAAAUUGUAACCCCACAUCGAAUUAUUUUAUCCGUUUAUCAUAUUUUUCUUGUUAAUUUUCUUUUUCAACAAUCUUAAACCACUUCUUCAGUCUGAUCCUACUAUAUAAGAGUAACAAUUGGUGACCGACCGUUGAGCCUACCAGGUCGUCAUUUGUCAAGGAGAAUACGGUCAUUUCAUGAUACGAAGUUCGUAGAAAACUGUAAGAACACUGAAGUUUAUUCUUCUAAGCUUUACUUUCUUGGCUUAGAAGAUUGCGACCCUUUUUAAUUCUGCGCUGGUCACCUGCACAUGGGCUUUGGUAUGGACUCCCAUCACAACAUUAUUCACGCUCAACUGACCAUACAUGUUCCCACGUGUCCAGCUGCUUUAUACGCUGCUGACCAACCUGUAGACCAAUCAUCACCGACCACGUAUGUAUACGCGGCGUUGCUGUACCUAUACGUGAGUAGCUCACACGAAAAGAAACUCUAAUAUAAUAUUAAAUAUUGAACCAAAUCACUUGUGCUCAGCUCGGAUAGCAAUUUCAAGUUCUUUGAACACUUUUAACAAUAUUAUAUAAAAUACAAUGGCGACAGUUAGCAGCUCAUCAAAGGCCAUGAAUGUGAUGAUGGUGUUGGUUUUGGCAACUCUUGCAAUGGCUGCUUCCGUGUCAGGGCAAAGUACCGAGAUGGCGCCGGCGCCGGCUCCUUCGAUGGACACUGGAGCUGGCUUCUCUCUGCCGGUUUCGCUUGCCGUCGUUGGUUCUUCCCUCGUUUUAUCUCUUCUUGCUCUGUUGAAGCAUUGAAUGGAAAUUUGUUGUGUGUCAACAAAGAAAAGAGGCUGUAUUUUGAGGGAAUGGAGAUAUAUAUAUAUAUAUAGUAUUCCAUUUAUUCUUUGCUUUUUUUUUUCAUCAAUAUUUGUAUUAUUAAUUAAUAAUAAACGGACCCAUUGAUAACUCAUUCUUUAAUUUUUGUGAUAAGAAUCUGCAGGCAUGCUGUUACAAAUUUCUUGUAUCAAAUAACAGAUAAUUAAUUAAGAUUUCUUAAAACAAAAUUGCAUUUCUCGUAAUUUUUUUUACUUUAAAUUGGUGGGAACUAUUUAGAGCGUGGGCUUAGCAGAUGUUUUUACAAAUUGAAGAUUAAAACUGAAAUUAAUCCUUAAUCUUGGCUCCGCAAAUAAAAGCUCAAGCUCUUCUGCCCCUAGUGGCGGUGCUUGAUUUAAUAGUUUCCAAACAGUUUCAUUUAACUGAUUAAGAUAUAAUAUGGAAUUAAAAUCUCAAAAUCUCAAUUGGAUCCCAUUUCAACCAUUUUUGUAUUUUUUUAAGUUUACAUCAAUUUUUUUUCAAAUUCGAUAUUUUGAUUUAUUUGUAAAUUAGAUCUUUGAUAAAACAAUUAUACUAGAGAAUUAGCAAUUUUUAAUUGUAUCUUGGGUGUUUAAGUUUUCAUUUUAAUUUCAAAUAUUUUUUAAAAUAUCAUCAAAAUGUCAAUUUAUUAUUAAUUAGAAUAUGGUAAGUGAAACAUUUAGACUAUUUAGGACAUCGAUACGAGGUGAGGUCGGUACACAUUUGCUACCACCAACAUGAUGCUGAUGAAGAAGAUGAGUUAUGUCCAAAUACUUUUUAUGGUCACCCUCGUGUUCACACUGCACCUUGUAAGUUUCCCCAGGAUCCCAAAUUGAUGUUUGAAGUCUGCUCGUUCACAGUUAAUGAACACACUAUUAUUCUUUCUUUAGUUACCAUAUUACUGUUAUCCAAUACAAUCUCACUCACUCGUUACGUGCAUUAGUCUUCAUUCAGUGCUAUUUUUGGAUAAUUGAUUUUGUAAUAAUAAACAGAGGAAAGAAAUAAUUAAACGCAAGAAACACAAACGUUUUAUUACGAAAAACGUAACCAAAUAACAAAGAAUCAAUCCAAUAUACUCGAAGCAACAAAAAUUACAAAUAGUAAUAAUAAUAACAAUAGUAAUCUAAUGCUUCAAAAGAGCCAUGAGGGAGAGAACCAAAGAGAAUCCAACGACUGAACCAGAAACCGGCAGAGAAAACCCAGAUCCGGCAGCGGGGGCCGGCGACGGCGAAAUUUCCUGAGCGGAGACCGUGAAGACCGUCAUCGCCAAAACGACGAGCAAUGCAAUAGAGACGCUGCUGAUUUGGGCCAUUUUUUCGAAUCGAAAGAGCACGAAUGGAGAGAAUGAGAGAAGAUUGUGGUUUUUUUUUUGCCUUUUCUGCAGACGGUGGUUAGGGUUUUCGGGAGCGGGCGAGUAUUUAUAGGGAUACGAUCUGCGGCGCGUGGGGCCGACACGAGAGAGUGGACAGCUGGCGAACUCAACGUUCACAUUACAGCUCAGCAUCACAACAGUGCAGGUGAGUUGUGUGCCGUGUAGCUUGUAUGGUUGUAUUUUGCUUGUUCGGUAUGAUUGAGUGGGGCCAUUGUCGGUGGGCUGGUGCGGCGCCGUAUGGGGGAGCAGUGGUUUUGAGCGACACGUUUCAAAAAGUGGUUGGUCUUGCAAAUCUGUGACCGUUGCCUCUAUGGGCCCAAUAUGGCCAACAUAAAAUUUGAUAAACGAACCCCAUUUAUUUACCAAACGCUCACCUAUCCUUUCAAUGUUUGUUAUCAUUCUUCUGUUAAUUAAUGCCCAUCUCUUUAUAAUAUUGAUAGAAAAUCUGUUCCAUUUCUUGAUUAUCUAUCUAUUGCAGUACAUAUUAAAUUUUUAAUUGACAAUUAAUGCAUAAUAUAUUAUUGACAUAUUAAAAUAAAGACAUAACAUUUGAAAGGUUUUUUGAAACACACAUUUUUAUCUGUAUUUGGUUGUGAUUUAUUUAUUUAUUAUAUAUGUGUUUUAUCAACUAUCAAUCUCGUGAUUGUAUUUGCUCAGAUAAAGUAUCAAAUCAUGAGAGAAUUUUUAUGCUUUGUCGUAACAUAUAAUUGAUUGAAAUAACGUAUGAAAUAAAAAUAAAUUAUGUGUCCUAAUAUGUUUUCAAUUUAAUCAAUUGUAAUAUGUUAUAUCAACUCCUUUCAAAUAAUGUAAAUUAAACGAUAGUGUUUUAAAUAUUAUAGACAUGUUCUAAAUUUUUGUAGAUUUUUGUAAAAAAAAAUAAUAAUAAUUUGAUUUUUUUAGGAAAUGUGAAAAUAUUAUGGGUUAAAAGAUGAUGAUGAUUUAUGUCUUAAGAAGUACACAUAAGGAAAAUUUACAAAAAUGACCCAUAAGGCAAAUAGGCAAAAAAAAAAAAAAAGGGGGGGGGGGGCAUUUAAGCAAUUCAAAAUCAUUUAACUCAAUCACACAGGACGUUUAUACAUUAAUCAUGAUACAUUAUAAUGACCAAAACAAAAAGAUAUUAAUAAAUCAAAAGAAGAAGCAAAUCACAGCACAAUCCAGCAACAAAAUCAAAACCGUCCUCUUUAUGUAAUACCACAAGAAAUGAUAUACAUAUGAACCCAUCAUCCUCACAACUCCGAUAUCUCACUCAAUGCAAGACAAAAGCAACGAGGGAUCCCACAACGGAAGAAACUAUCAGAGCCCAACAAACCGGCAAAGAAAACCCGGCUCCGGCAUCCAUCGCCGGCAAAGGAGCAGCAGGGCUGUCUUGUGCCAUAGUUGCAGAUAUAUAGAACAAUGCCAUGAUCAUGAUCGCCGCAAUGUGACCGAAAAUUGAGCCAAAUUGUGCCAUUUCCGAAAAGGUUUUGAUAGAAAAAUGGGAUAAAGCUCAGAGAGGCUACUAAAAGAAAUCAGGACUCGAGUAAUUGUUGAAUAAUUUGUGUGUAUAUUUUGAAAAAAAAUGGAUGAAACUUUGAACUAUUUAUAAAUGGGGUAAGGUCUUAGGUGGCAUGUAAUACAAAAUAUUUUUUCCGUGAAAUUCAGGUUCCACAUUCAUCGUUGUACGUGAAAAGCGUUCGCCCAUCAUUUUCCGUCAUCUUGGGCCUGGGUCAAGAUAAGGGCCCAUUGCUGAUUAAGGUAUAGGGUUGUGAUCCAGCGUGGGCACCACGAAGUAGUUGAUCAACGGUUGUUAAUAGAUAGUCCAACACGUGGCAAUAAAUGACUAGAUCCGUUUUUCAGAUCUCAUGUGGUACGGUUCACCUUAUGGUCCAAUUUUUCUGCAGUUGGGCACUCACUUUUGCUUUUACUUGUGUGAUUUAAUCUUCUUUUUAUAUAUUUAAGCUACCUUUCUUUUUUUUUUUUUUUCUUUUGUUGAAGUCUAAAAUGAAUCGGAUUAAUCUAAGCUCAAAAUAAUUCAGUCCAAAGAUACCAAUUAAGGGGGGGAAAAAUAAAAAAAGGUAGCAUAAUGUUAAAUGAGUCAACUAUGAACACUAUAAUUUAGACAGAACAUAUGGUUUUAAUAGGUCUUAUGUAUCUUAAAAACUUAUAAUAUUGCAAGAAUGUGUACACCAUAUGGACACAAUUAAUUUUCUCGUUAUUAUAUUAUAGGGAAAGGUGGCAAAUGAUCAUCACAAAAUUGAUUUGUUGCGGCUAAAAUAAGUGACGCCUCCGCUAUUUGAAAGUCGAUGGCGAUAGUCAUUGUGAAAUUAAGGUUUGUACGCAAAAGAGGUGAGCUGCCCUUUUAGAGACAGAGCAGCUUUCAGAUGAAAAAAAAGUUGAAAUUAGCCGUUUAACUUCUCUAGGCAUGUCUUUGAAGUUACAACAAUACGUGAGUUGUCACUCUUGAGUCUUGUCGGCCAAAUUAUUUGUUCGGAGAGAGUACAGUUUUUCCCCCCCAAUCUUUAAUUUGGCAAAGAAAACAAUUUCAUCGAAGUUCAAUUUUGACUGUGGCAUUUGCCCCCUCAAGAUUCUAACUCUCCACAUGUUGGCGCUAUUUCUUGUAUUUGACACAAGAGAUUUUAUCCGCUGAACGAACAAUGUUAUGUUAUGUUAGUUAGCCAGAAAACCUACUUGAAUAAGGAAAAAAAUCUACUCUCACAAUGCGUAUGAAAAGACUUAAACUCUCAAUCUCAAUAAUGGCACGAAAAUGAAUCUACUAUAGUGGUUUGUCUCAAACAAUUGGGUGACAGCAUUGGCACACUAAUCUAGUCCCUUGGGCAUUGCUCGAAUAUCUAUAAAUGUACUCUAUACCUCUUUUAAGUUUGAGUAAAUAAUAUAAUUAAAAGUUAACCUUCAGUAGAAGGUAUAUACGUCUGAUGUGUCAUAUUACUGUUGCGUAAUUUUUAAAAAGUAAUAUAUGAUGAUAUGUUUGAUGUCCAUAAACAAAUGUAAAACUCUAACAAAAGAAUGGUUUGUGUGUAAUUUUAUUCAUGAAACGUUAUGAGUUUAUUUGUAAAUUAAGUGCAAACCUUAGGAAUACCAUGCUUUAUUUAUUUAUUUUCCCCAUAAUUCAUCUAUCUUAACCGAUUUGAGAGACAAUGAUAUUAAUUGGUACAGUAAGCUAGUUUCCUUGGGAUUUUUUAUGUAAAUUUUGCAUUAAAUAAAAAAAGAAACUGUUCAAACUCUAACUAAAAAUUUUCUGCCUCAUGCACGAGAACAAAAGAUAUCCAUACACAUCCCGCAAGCCUGCAUGGUCAUCCUCUUCUCAUGGUCAAAUCCAACACGUAACAAAAAAUCUUCAACUAAAAAAAACCAAUUAGUCCUAAAAAUAACCCCAAUUCUUCUUAUAUAUAUAUUACCCUCUGCAUCACUCAUCUUAUACAGACCUGCCAAAAGUACCCAAAAAAGUAGAAUAAAAAAGGUAUUCGCUAAUUUAAAAAAAAAAUCCCAGAAAAAUAGAAGGGCUAUUUCUUGAACUCCAAGGCAGGCGUUAGGUUACCAAUCAGAUUAAUCAGCUACAUCCAAUAUGGACGUGAGGAAGAUCUCUUGUGCUGUACUCGUCGCCGUCGCCGCCUGCUUGAGCGUUGCCGUGGCCGCAGACCCAGCCCCGGCACAAGGUCCUGAGGCUGGUGGCCCAGGGCCGAGCAUGGCCCCAUCGGACUCAGCCCUCGGCCCAUCCGCUGAUGGGGCCGCUGAGACAUUGCCCGUUAUGGGUUCUUUGGUUGUGGCAUCCCUUGUGUCAUUUUUGGCCUACUACUGGCAUUAGUCUUGCUGCGAAUUUGAAGACUUAGAUAAUGAAAAAUACGUGUGCUUGAAGCUUCAAAAGAAUGGUCCAUCUUAUAUAUGCGUAUAUAGUCAAUAUGUACACUAAGGAAGGUUUUUAAUUUCUUUCUUGUUCAAUUUCAUUUGCCAUAGUAGGUGGUAUUUCUUUUUUCGAAUUAUUGUAUAAUUAUAAACCAAGCCCCUCAUCCUCGUUCUAGUUGUGAGCGGAAUUUUAACCUAAAUUGUAUUUUGCUUUUGAAAUUUAUGUCGGAAUAAAACACACCUUGAUUUUAUCCUAAUUACCCCAUUAUUUGAUUGCUCUCCUUUUUAAUAAUUCAGUUAAUUUAGUUUAAAAAGUUUUUUUUUUUUUUUUGAAGCAUCAGCAUCUAAUGCAAUGAACACUAUCUGUAGUUACUACGUUAACUGCCAUCCAAAUCCCACAAGAAACUUGUUGACAUAAAUUGCUUUUAAGAUAAAUAAAUAAAUAAAUCAAUCCAGUUUAUUUCCCACGAAAGCCAACUCUGUGUUAAAUCUACAAAUUAUGUUAUUCAAGCUUCUAAUCUUCAAUCAAACACUCCAAGAAAACCAUUUUAUCUCAACAUUCCCAAAAAAAAAAAAAAAAAAAAUUGUAAAAAUUAAUGGCAAUACCUCGAGAUAAUCAAUUUCCCGUUCCCCCAUUAAAUUUCUGUGCAGACACGAGGCUCUUUGUCAACCAGAUAGCUGUUUCUCUAGAUGAGACAGUUUCUUCACCAAAUGGUCUUAACACUCCAGCCAGUUCAUCAAGUUUGUCCUGUUUCAGCAGCCGUGCACAUAACUCAAGAAGAGACUCCAAAGCAUCUGCUCUUUGCUGGGUUGGAUUCUCCCACUCUGCCCUGAUUUCAUCACAACUUAUCCCCGUAACGGUACUUAGUAAUGAGAUGUCGCUUGGUGCCAGAUUAAAUGCCCGAGAAUCAUCUUUCUCUGUUUGCAUGGAGCAACUAGUAUUAUCUGGUUUUGUCUGAGCUUCAUCUUUACAAGGAAGUGCAUCAUUGCUUGCAGAUGACAAGUUGCCCAUGUGAGCUUCCCCAUUCUGUGCAUUGUCGCUAUUUAUCUUUGGCGAACAACUUCCAGGUGCUACUUCGGGUUCAUAUAUAGCUGAUGAUGAACUUUUAUCGUCAGGAGACUCGUUGUUACCGUUGCAGCCUGCACUGGACGGCGUCAUUUUCCCACAGUCCAAGGGAACAGCGCUCUCACCCUCUAUAUCAGCUUCUUCAACAACUCGAUCGCUAAAUGGAUUUUGAUCUUUACUUUUCACAGUCUCGACAUCUAUCUCUUCUGCGGGUUGUACAUGUGCAUCAGCAGGUUCUUGUAUUUCAUUCUGAGAAUUUGCUGUGAUCUCUGAGGUUAAGUCAGAGCCAGUGCUGCCAUUAAAGUGAGCUUGCUUGUCUCUGCUGCAAUCACUUGUCUCAGUUUGAGUGGACCUUUCUUUGGAAUCAUUGAUGGAGCUGGAGACUUCCAUUGUGUAGCUAGUAGGAUCAACUUUCUUGGUCUCAAGGUUGUCUUCUGUACUAGUACUGGAAGUUGGCUUGUCAUCGAGAGGUAGAUUGUUGAGCUGUACAGCAAUAUUUUUCGCUACUGAACGAACAUUUUCCAACUGGUUAUGUGCUGCUGCCUCUCUCUCCCCCUUAUCCUUGCGACUAUUAUGUUUGCUAGAUGGUGAUUUUCUUGUUUUCUCCUUCAUAAUGUUUGUCGGCUUUAUUGGAAGAUAAACAGAAGAUGGGUUUUGGCAUCGAAGGAGAUAUGGCUGUAAAUGCGGAUGCCUCAACAGGUCUGAAGCCUAAAUUUCAAAAAGUGCAGGCACAAGAAUGAAUAAUUGCUUUUAAAUAGACCAGAUAUGAGGUUAGGGUAACUGAAACUCACAGUUGGUCUAUGUUCUGGGUUCUUCCUUAGCAUGCUUUUAAUAAUUUGUUUCCUGUGAUAUUAAAAUGCCAUCUCAGUAAAUACAUAUAUGAUAUUGUAAGAUAAAAUAUGGAAUCAUGGGGAAAAAGGGCAAUUGCAUGUGUGUUAUAUGAACUAGAGUGGUCCUUGAGAAUCAUCGAAUAUCUGUAAUAGGAUUGCGAGAGAUACUUACAUUGUGGAGGAAUACACAAUUGGGAGUGGAGAAAUGGAUGAUCUGUUUAUUUUGUUGAUGAGUCCAGCCAUAUCCUGUUGAGUUCUUAAUAAAUACAUUUAAUUAUGACUUUUUUACAUGAAGUAAAUAUACACAUUUUAUUGCCACUGUACGGUAAUUACAUGUAUCUGAAGCUGAAACUUACAGGAGCUCUAAAUGCUGGUUGAUGGGCAGCAAUUUCAAACAUACAACAACCUGUAACAACACAUGUAUGUUACCGUUAACAAUGAAUCUCGAAAUAAUUUUGGUAAACUGACAACCAAUCUUACUGAAUUUCUUACCGAGCGACCAUAUAUCAGAUUUAUAGCCAUAAGGAAUGUCUGCUAGGAGUUCAGGACACAUGUAGUUGGGAGUGCCAACAACCUAUGAGACAUGAAACAGCACUGACAGUAAACUAUCUGAAUGACUAAAUUGAAUGAAGUGUCUUUAAAAGAAGCUCUUAAGAUAUUGAAACCAUAAAAUUUUGUUAGUAUGUAUACUAAGUAUUCGUAUUCAGUGUAUUUUAUAAGAAAUUUUGAUAUGGUAACUUAAAAGUGCUUGUGGGCAUGAUAGCUUCAUAAAAUAAAGAGUUUUGACAGGGUUUAAAGUUGACAACUUGUUUUAGAUUCAAGUUGAAAACAAAGUGAAAUGCAUUGUAUCAAAAACAAGUACGAGUUCAUACUGAGGAAGCAAGGUCUUCUGUAUUCAGUAGUUUUGCAAGCCCAAAGUCCCCUGUAUAGUUCAUAAAAGACAUACAAUUCUUAGACAUCUUAACUUGUAAGCCAAAGCUGAUGAGAGUGAAAAAUUUUGUUUCCCAACUACAAUUUUCCUUCAUACCUAGACGGAUGUCGUUGUCCUUCGUAAGAAAUAUGUUGGAACACUGUAAUUGAACAAGAUUAAAUCAAAAACAUGUUAUUCAUAAUUUUUUUUAAAAUUUAUAACAUAUAGGUAUACCUUAAGAUCUCUAUGAAGGACACGGUUGGAGUGAAGGUAGUCCACAGCUAGCAACAGCUGGGUCAGCCAUUUGCAGAGUUUCUGAGCAAAGCCAAACAAAAUACAGGAUGGGUGAAUGUUACCUCAGUCAGCAGUGUACGUAUAUAUGCAUGCAUGCAUGCAUGUAUAGGGCAUGAUUUCAUUAACACGAUAAGGAUUACCUCCUCCGGAAAGCAUGCUCCUCUGGCCUUCUUUAUAAUUUCAGCCCUGAGUUAAAAAAGAAAAAAGAAAAAUUAAAAACAGGACAAUUACACAAUGUUUCUGGUUUAGUCCUCUAUGAACAGCAUUUCCAUAUUCUACAUUUUGCAUUUUUGGUUUAGUAAAAUCUCGUCAAAGGUAUCCUCAGUUGACAACUAUAUGCAAAGAGAAAUUUAUAUUUUAGCAUAAUGUUUUCUGAUAUAAGAUGUAAAAUUUUAAAAAAUAUGCAGGUCGAACUUUUAAUUUGCUUCUAGGCUGUACAGGUGAAGAUCACCAGUAGCCUUCAAUUAUCAAUUCUUGAAUUCUCACAAAGAGACAAAAAUGAAUGUAAGUAUGUUCAAUGAUCAAGAAGUGCUACCUGAAACAAAUAUGCAACCUACACCAUAGAAUCAACAAGAAUCUUGACGAUCUGUUCACAUUUCCUGAGAAAGUCGACUAAUACAUUCUUGGCAAUACUUUUCUGUUUCCUAUUAGUAAGAUUUGACCCAAGAAUCUACCCCGACAAUUUCACACAACCUAGUAAGAAAAGAUUAACAUGGUGGUAACUUACAUGUCUCCUCCUUCACAGUAACCAGUUACGAUGCAGACACAGUUUCCCUAUGAAACAUGAAGAGAAACAAGCAUGUUAAUAGAGAGGUAACAUAGUCUCAUAGGAACAAAUUCUACAUAGACCGGAAUAUAAAUGCAUGACAUGCUUACCUUGUCCACCCAAGCAUCUUUGUACUUUACUAUAUAUGGGUUAUUCAAUUUGGAAAUCAAGUCCAUCUGCAAAAGAAAUGGACAUAAAUAGUCUUUUGAGAGAAAAGUUGGUUUGCUUGGAGCAUUGAAGAUUAAAACAAUUUAGGCUUCAAGCCUGGGCCUGAGGCCCUACUGUAAGUAUCUUCCUAGAAGUUGAAGGAAAACUAGAUGGCAAUCUACAAUCUUAAAACCAGACAGCGACAUACAAUCUCAUUAAAAGAUGGCAAGUUUGAAAGUCUUUUUAGAAGUACCAAACUGCAAGUUUCAGGAUGGAAGCUACAACUUCAUUUCACUUUCCAUUGAUUAUCAUGAUUCUGUUAAGUAUUACAGCAGAUCAAUCCAAAAGCGGAAAGCAUAAGUGCAAUUUCAGUAAGAACUUCCCAGAUCAAUUUUGGAUUAUCAAUGUGCAAAAAAUAAUUCAGUAAAACAAAUGAGGAGCCAAUGAACUGAAGAAUCUGCUAACUGUUGGUAAGAUAAAGACGUAUAACCAAAGGUUCUCAGAUGACUAUAUAUGCGUUUGUUGAAUGCUGUGUAGGAUACUGGGUACCCAGGCCUAUAAUUUACAAUCAGGUCAAUAUAAGUUUAGAUAAAAAUUGUCCAAAAUUAAAAUAAAAAAGCCUUUUCCAAAAUGAAAUACGAAACAUUUUUGCUAAAAAUGAGAUUUUUAUCAAGAGUUCUUUAAAAAUGGCUUUGCAAAAUUAAAGUGACGAAUCAAAUUUUACACAUUAAAGAUUCAAAAACAAGUCUAUACAAACGAAAAUAACCAUAUUCUGCAUAUCUAAAGAACUAAUUUCUAAACACAUUAUCAUUAGGAUUGAAAAAAUAUAAAUAGGCAAAGUGCAAUGUCAAAAAAUUGAUGGCUUCUAAAAAACAGAAAUAAUGUUGCAAGAAUCACUAAAUAAAUAAAUGAAACAAAAAAAUUAUGAAGAAAGCAACCUCUUGAAGUGCUGUCCGUUUGAACUUCUCAGUUUGUUUGGCCAAUCGAAUCUUCUUCAACACAUACCUAACGGAAAAAGAAAAUCAACAACCACACACUGUGUAAGCUAAAAGUCAAUCUUCUCCACUAAGAAACAGCAAGUCGUGCCGACGCUAUCUAGAAAGCAAGCUACACUAUCUAAAACGCAAGCUCAAGUCAAGUCGCCAUUUUGAUAAAACAUUGUACCCACUAAUUGAUUUUUCUUGAAAAUAUCAUUUCCCAAUUUUUCUUGAAUUCGCUAAAGAUUAAGACCUUUUUUUUUGGGGGGGGGGGGGGGGGGGGAGAAUGAACAGAAUUUGAUGAAAACUGGCUUACUUCUUUCUUUCAAUUUUAUGCAGAACAAGAAAAGCUGCUCCAAAUGCUCCUCUUCCAAUCUGUUCAAUCACUUCAUAAUCUUCCAGCUUCGACUUCGAAUCGCCAUUUUCAGUCUCCAUUGGUUCCUUCAAAAGCCUAACGACAUUAAAAACACCAAACCCACUUCAGCAACAGAUCAAAUUUGUUAUAUUAGCACAAAUUCAAGCAGGAAAAUGACUAAUUCUGUUUAAAAAAUUUACCAAAUUUCUAUCUCUUCAAGAGGAGUAAUGACUUGAGAUUAUAGAAGUAGCAAAAUACAAUGAUCUGAUAUAUGAAGAGACAUAAAGAUGACUAAAGCUGCACUAAUUAUUAUGUUUUUUACACCACACAAGUUGAGAGAAAGAGAGAGAGAGAGAGAGAGAGAGGGAGGAGCAUAAGCAAAAGCAAUAAUAAUAAGAUAAUUAGAAUUAGGUGACUUACCAAAAUGGAAGGACAACCGAAGUAAAGGAAACAAAGGCUAAUGCAAAUAUUAUAUAUAUUUAUAUAAUAAUACUUAAUCAAUUAAUUGGUAAAUUGAAAGGUUGAAUGAAUAAGAGUGAAACUGUGACAGGUAUUGAAGACCAAAGAGAAAAGGAAAAAGAGAGAGACUAUUGCUUUGCUUUGCUUGCAUUUACAGAUUCAUGAGAGCUAUAUAAUAUAAAUACCACUAAAUUCUAAAGACUGUUUCCCAAUAUGUAGUUGUUGUGAUGUCAGUGUCUUCACGAAAUUAGAUUGGGGAAAAAAAAAAGAAAAAGGGAAAUUCCCCAAUUAGAGUUUUUGUUGAGCUUUGGUCUUAAUAGAUGCAAUCUUCCAAUGGCAUCACACGGUUGUAAGUUCCUUUUUUUUUCCUGCUUUAGUUCUUUUAUUUAUUUAUUUUUGUCUUGUGGUUGGCCAGCAAUUGGUAUAAGAUUAGUUGGUAGGCUUAAGGCUAAUGAUGAUUGAUGGAUGGCUUGAACUUUUAUUUUACUAAAGGCACAAAGAAUUUCAUUAUACAUUCACUUUUGGCUAUAAAAUAUAUAAUCAUCAUGGUUUUGAUAUUAUAAAAUUUGGUGGGUGGGAAUUAUUUAUGUAUUUAUCUUAAAUAUGUUAAGCUAAUGAAGGCCGUAGUAGUAGAGAUAAGCAAAUUGAGUUACUUUUUAAACAUUUGGUAAUUGGUACAAAAUAAAUUCCCAUAUAGGUUUUUACACAAAUCCCUUCUUUGCUUUUGAGUUAAAUAAUUCAUGAGGUAUACUGUCGUUGUAGAAAACGAUGGAUGUCUUUUGAUCUAGAGCAACCUUUCUUUUGGCCUUGUAGAGCGACAACAGAUAGAAAAUUAACAAUAAUAAUCGAUCAAAGAGCUUGGGUGAGAAAAGGAUUUCUCAUUUGCAAUUAACAAUUUAACACAAGAUAAAUGAACAAAAAAAUUGCAUAAUUUGACACCAAUCUUAUGUGCAGCAUAGGGUGCUCUCAAAUGGGAGCUUAAUCCCAGCAUAGAGAUGGAGACAAAUUGGUCCACUUUUGUUUUUCCAAUGUAACGUUUGUCCUUUUUGAGCGAGGCACUUUCCACGGAAGCCUAGCACCAACCAGUGCCAUUGUUUAAGCUUGUCUGUUUAUGAAUCAAUAAUAGGGAAGCUUCCCAAAGCAAAACCAAAACCAUGUGUUCCAGGUUUGACCCUUAUAAUACCACAUUCUUAUCAGAGAUCAUCGUCACAACUCCUUAUCUGUAUUCUGUAUCUUUUGUAAAUGUAAUGCAGAAAUUUUAUCAAUAGGCUGAGAGCAUCCAAGACAUAUCUUCAAGUCCCUGCACUAAUCAAUGUAACCAGACUUGACAUAUGUAAUUUUAAUUUUUUGGGUCUAUAAUUAAGCAUACAUUAAAAGGCUGACAGUUGACAUGAAAUCAAUUAGAACUUUAAACUUGAAUGAUAGAAGAGAUUCGCAGACUAAUAGUAGGAUAAAGAUUUGUACAGUUAAAUCAAAUCCUUGAGCAAAGUUACUUCCUUCUUGAUUUUUUAGAGGCUCUGCGGUUUUCUAUUUUCUUCUGUGCAGCCUCAAAUUCUUCAUCUGUAGGCUCUGAACCUGCAGCAGCACCGCCAUAUUUAGACACUAGUGAUGAGAACAUAGAAUCAAACCGGUCUUUCCUGUCACUUCGGCGUUGAGAUAUAACUGCAUAUAGAUCUGAUUCUGAUUGUUUAUUGGAUCUGUAAAAGAUGAAAACAUGGCCACAAUAUAUUUCAUAUCAUAUGAGUUUGUCAAAAGAGGAUAAUAAAGUAUUAGUAGAAAAGAGACAGGCCAGUAAAAACUCACUUUGCUUUCCUUUUUAAAGGACGGGUAGGUGGUUUUGUUUCGGAUACUUUUUUGGCCCAUUUUUGGUAGGUUUUAGUUGCUUUCAGUUCUCCUAUACAAGUGAGAAAGAGAGAUCAGUAUUGGAGAUCUCACAAGUUUGAGAUAAUCCAGAACAUAAAACAAAUUUGAAUAUUCUUAUUCUAUAAGGUGGCCCUCUAACGUGGAACAAUCAAUUAUCUUUUAAAGUCUUGGUUGUCCACUUAAGUUGCAAUUAACCUAGUUCAGAGGCAGAACUUGAAACUUCUGAGGUCUAGAACACUAAACUUUUUGGGUAUAUAAGCAAAAAGUGAUACGAACAUUUACCUGCAGCAAUUGUCUCGUCAAGAAUAUCCUUGAAACGGUGUGAAUCAAGUUUCUGGUCCGAACAAAGCAUUGAACAGAAAAGCCUGUGGCAGAGAGAAUUUUUAAGCCAUCAAACUUAAAUAGGCAAGUCCAAGGAGGGAAAAGAAACACAUAGCUCUUUAACCUGUUCAUAUUCCCCUUGCACUUCUUAUACAGAUCAAUCAAAUCUUUCUUCUCUGAAUCAGAUCCCCUGUAGUUUGCCUCAAACUCUUCAAUAUCAGCCUCAGUGACCUGCAAUCCGUAUAUCAGCUGUCAAGUAAAUGGAAUGGAAAAGAAGAAUAAUACAAGGCAUUAAUUCAAAAUUUUCAUGAUUAAAGCAUCUAACCUUUUUGUACAUGGCUCCAACAAACUCUUUCAAAUUUUGAACAACAUCCCCAGCCAGGUCCUGACCAGCAAAAAGGAUCAAAAUGAGACACAAAAUGCAGCAACAGUUGAAAAGAUAAAAAAACUGAAAGUGAAUAUUCCAAAUUUUAAGAAAGAAUAUCAUUCAAGCCCAAUCUCUCGCAUAUAGUUAUGAUUGCCAAUUUUUUACCAGGUAUAAGUUGGUCAAUAAAAAGGGAACUGUAAAGGAUGGAUUCCUUAAGACCAUAUAGUGCAAAUGAAAUAUUUUUCAUCACCAUGGAAUUUCUAUUAGCCCUAGACUUUAAUUUAUCUAAAUAAAAUUACUAGAAAACAAAUAGUUCUCUCAACACUCACAGCAUCAUAGACACAACCGGUCUGGUCAUAAAGAGCCCGUUUUUCUUCAUCACCAAGAAUUGAAAUGACCUUUUGUAGUUGUUGAAAUUUCUCCUUCGCCUCCUGUUCAAAGAAGAUAAAAUAGAUCACAACAGAGAAUAAAAAUGACCGGCCAUGCAGGUAACUAAGUUUUCUCCUUACCUCAUCACCAGGAUUUUUAUCUGGAUGGAGUCGUAAGGCCAAUUUAUAGUAUGCUUUCUUUAUUUCCUGUUGAGAUGCUGUCCUUUCAACACCAAGAACCUGCAAGCAGAGCAUCCGUAUUAGAUUUAUCUCGGUUUACUUCAGAAGAGGAUGCAAACCCAACACAACAGGAAAUUGGAAGGAGAUGGGUGGUAAGUGGGGUGCAUAAGUUUACAAUAGCUCGAUGAAAGCAUUCAAAUUCUUGGAAUCAUAAUCACUACAAAGCCAACCAAAUUAAUUAGUUGAGACUAUUAAAGUUUACCGUGCAUGUUACAGAAUACACAUGCUUCUCCAAAGCAAUUUGAUAUUCUACACGAAAGCUUGAAAACUGAAAAUGAGAGUCUAAAGGCAUACAAGCAACACAGUUGAGAGUACAUUUAUAGGGGUAAAUGAUCAUCAAGAACAAACCAAAUGCCAUUGCCUUGUAAAAGACAAAUAUAUUUAUUGAAAAAAAAAAGAAUUCCAGUCAGAAAACAAAUCCUUGCAUUUAAGCCAAUUCACAAAACACAUCAGAACUUGGCUGUGCUAAGUGACGAAGGCAAUGAAUUUUACACUAAUAAUAUGAAAUAAAACCCUAAUUUUUAUUGCAGCAUCACAAGUACAGUACAAUAAACCCUUGAUACUAAAGUACGACUAAUUUAACAAAUUAAACUCCCUAUUAAAAAAUAUUAACAUAAAACGCCCAAAAGAACAAUGAUACCUCAUAAAGGUCCUUAUCAUUUGAAGAAGAUCGAUUCAGAUUCUCCUGAUUUAGUUCUUCUUCUUCAUGCGAAACCCUAGAUUUCUUCUGCUUUCCCAUUUUACCCCUUAUAAAUUUCUUUACUUUGCUUUCCAAAGUGAAAGAAGUAAAGGGUUGGGGUUCUUAUACCAGUGGUAGUAUUGGCGCUGAAUAAAAUUUUCGUCUCCGAUUUAUUCCCGCCAUUUCGGCUCUUUUCCCGCCGGAAUGAUCAGGUGUGUGCUACUGUAUAGUAGCUUUUGAUAAAAAAUUGGAAUAAUCACAUCGUCGACAAGAGAUGGGGCCAGUUAAGUUAGGGCGUACCGUGGGUGUCUACUUGAUGUGUUGAAUGAGAUUGAAACAUAUCAUAGUUCGCGCUGCAUAUGAUAAGAGUGAUGUCCAGAAAAUUUCACACUUACCCCUGAGGUUUGAACAACCCGUAACCGGAUCUGAAGUUUGAGCUUGUCUGGAUAUACACCCUUUGCUUAUUUCGACCUCGCCUGUCACCAACAAUGGGUAGGCAAAAUCGGGUUCGGGUCAACCCGAUCGGGUUUUGGGUUGUUCGGAUUAGAUAAGAAUCAAUCCGACAUAACCGGAAUUAUUGACCCGACCUGAACCGACCUGAACUAUGUUCAGGUCGGUUGAAAUCGGGUUGGGUCAAAUUUGGUUAAUGUAAUUUUGAGCCCUUUUUUUUCCUAUUUUUGUAGUUUUUAUGAUAGUUUUAAGACAUUUUUCUUAAUUGUAGUCAUUUUUACUAAUUUUCAACUGAAAAAAAGAAAAGAAAAUGUUAUUAAAUUAAAUGAAUAAAGUUAAAAUGCUACAAUAUGAUUAUUUGCCUAUUGGCUUGGAGGGUAGGAUUAGGACUAUUAUUUGCUCAACCAACAAAAUCCAAAAUAAAAGUUAAAAUUAAUACAAACUUACAAAGUCCAAAGCACAAUUUCUAAAUAUUAGUCUUUAAAAGUUUGAAACACAAACUCACAAAGUCACAAAAUUAAAUUUUUUAGAAACAUAAAUCACAAAGUUCAAAGUUCAAACAUUAAAACUAAAUAAGCUUUUUUGGUUCCUCCAUCUUGGUUCCUCCAUGGCUCCAUACAAGCACUUUGACAAGUUCUAAAUUCAAAUUUUUGAACUCCAAGUUCAAGUGCCGAUUGCCUAGAGAAAGAUUAAGGAAAUGUACAAUAAAUAUUUUCUUUAAGCCACCUUCCAAAUGAACAAACUCAAUUCAUAUAAAAAAUUGAGCAAAUAAACCAAAUUCAUAAGGUUACACAUCAAACACAAACACAAAUAAAUAAAUCCAAUUCAUAUCUUUAAUUAAACUAAAGGGGUGUUACAAUCUUUCUAAUUUCUAUUAUAUCAUUAUAAAUUUAUAAUUACAAAUAAAUAUAUAUGUUUACCAAAUUUUUCACUACACACACUUGAUUAUAUAUUUCUAUUAUAUCAUGCUUAUUUUAUGGCAUUCAUCACCAAAUCAAGUUAAUAAUAAUACUAGACAAUAAUAACAUUCUAUCAACUUCAACUUGUCUAACUAAAACAAUUACAAAUUAGACUUAAAAUGUAAAACUAUAACAACUAUAAUUAUAGCUUAAAUUACAACCAAAUACUAAUAGUACUAUAAUAUCAAAUUAUGAAUAAUAAUAUAUAUUAAAAGUUACCUUUCAAACAUCCAUAACACCAAUGUCGGCGUUCAUCGCUUCCACUGUCGAAGCUUGCGAUCUUAUAAGCUCUAUAAAAUCUAAAAAAAAAAAAAUUAGUAACUCAAGUGCAUGACUGCAUGUAGAUGUUCUAUAUAAAGUUAUAAUGCAUUUUAAAUAUAUUAUGUAUUUAAUGUAUGAUAAAAAAUUAAAAACAUUACCUUCUUAUAAUUCCAUAUGAAACAUUUGCUCCUUGAUAUCUUCUUAGAGGUUAUAGACGGGAUUGGCAAAAAGUUUAGACUGCAACCAAUUUUCAGUGCAUAUCAAUGCCUCAACCAUAACCGGGGUUAAAGAACUCCUAUACUGAUCAAUAAUACGACGCCCGAUGCUAAAGGUAGACUCAGAUGCCACUGUGGAAAUAGGAACAACAAGGACAUCUCUUGCAAUUUUCUCAAGAAUUGGAUACAUCGAUCCAUUCACCCUCCACCAAAGCAAAACAUUAAGUUUAAGAUUGCUGGAAUCUUCAAUUGGGUCCUUCAAGUAUCUUUGCACCUCAGAUACUACUCUUCUACUCUCAUUCUGAACAGAAACCUUCCUAGCAUAUCCAAGGAAAGGGCGAGCAACUUGAAAAGCGUCAUCACAUUCACCACCAGCAACAUCCACCAAAUUAGCCUCAGUUGUAAAACAUUGAGAAAAAUUUGUACCUCCAUAGCUGCCACUAAGACCACUCUCACCAUACAUCGAUGGUGUGGAAUUAGCGGAGAAUGCACUAUAUGCAUCAUAAAACUCAUUCAACAAGUCCUUUACUGAUUUGGUCAUUUGUUCAACCAUCAAACUAUCAUUGCCAAAAAUGAUCUCAAAAAUAUAUUUAGCAAAAUCCAUUUUCGCUUGUGGAUUAAGAAUAGAGGAAAUAAUCAACAUUUUGUUUAUCUUUCCUGUGAACUCCCAAUACUUAUCAAAAUUUUCCCUCAUACUAUAAGCCAUAGAGGAUACCUAAGGAUCUUUACUUUCUUGCAGUGCAGUCAAUGAACUCUCAAUUAAGCCAAUAGUAUCAUAAUAAAGAUUAGAAGUCACACUCAAAGAGGUAUAAAACAAUAAUGUGGCAUCAUAAAAUACUUCAAAAACUUCACAAUUCGUUCAGCACUCUCCCAGUCCUCCGAUCCAAGUGGGCCCACCCUUCUAACAUUAUUUUCUUUCUCAGCAAAGUAUGCCUCAUAAGGUUUAUCAACUUCUACCAUUCUAUCAAAUGCUGCUUGAAAUUUCAACGCAGUCAUCAACAUCAAAUAAGUGGAAUUCCACCUGGUAAGACAAUCCAAAACAACAAUUCAUUUUGGACAAUUCACCUGCUCAGCACAUUGUUUAAAUGUCCGCAGCCUCAUGCUGGAGGAUCUCACGUACUUCACUGCAUUCCGAAUAACGGUAACACUAGCAUGCAACUCUCUCAAUCCUGAAACAACAAUCAAAUUUAAAAUAUGUGCACAACAACGUACAUGCAUAUAUUGUCCCACCAAUACAAGCGCAUCAUCAUUCCUCUAACUAAGCAACUGCAUAGUGACAUAACCAACAUCAAUAUCAUUUGCAGUGGCAUUAUUAACAGUUAUUGCAAACAACCUCUCUAUCCUCCAAUUUUGUAAGCAAGCCACAAUCUUUUUACCAAUCAACUUCCCUCUAUGAUCUUCGAUUGCGCUAAAACUAAUAAUCCUCAUAUUCAAACACCAAUCACUAUCAAUAAAAUGAGCUGUAAUCACCAUGUAGCUCAUGUUUUGAACAGAAGUCCAUAAAUCAGUUGUAAAAGACACUCGCUACUUGUUGUUGCAAAUCAAACUCUUCAACAUUGCCUUUUUCCUCCAAAAAUAACUCCAUAACAUCUCUACCAAUAGUUCUUCGAGAUGACAUAACGAACUGCGGGAUAGCUACACUGCAGAAAUAUUUAAAUCCUUUGUUGUCUACAAAAUUGAGCGGCAACUCACCCAUAAUAAUAAUUUUAGUUACUGCCCUUCGACACGCGUCUUGACUCCAUCCUUUACCCAAAACCAAAUUACUUGCAUUUUCUUUGCCGCCCUCAGAUGUUAAAUUUUGUUGACUUUCACUUUGUUGUGCCCGAAAUGUCUUGUAUGAUUCACAUGUCUUUAUAUGCCUUGUCAUAUUUGUAAUCCUAUCAAGCCUUAAAUGACAUUGAUAUUGCUUACCACAAUAGUUGCACAUACAUUUGUUUGGAUUAUCUUCGAGUAAAGUGAAAUGAUUCCAUACUGCCAAUCUUUUCUUCAUUGGCGGUCUUUUCCGCUUCGCCUUUUCCUUUCCUCUAUGGGUUCCUUCCAUUUGUACGCUUUGGUCUUCAUCGUCACUCAUCGAAUUCGAUCUUGAGUGUCCAAGCAUCUGAAUAUUCAAAAUAAUAAUUAAUAAUCAUUAAUUCAAAAAUCAAAGCACAGAAAUAUUAUUAACAUAAUCCAUAAACAAAAAUUAGUAAUUUCAAUUCAAGUUGUUCAUGCUCCAUAAAAAAAGUAAGAAAUUCAUGAUUAAUUAAUUAAUUUAUAAUAUCCAAUUACCCAUUCCCCAUAAUAAUAUGAUAUUAUUUGUCUAUUUAUGUCUUAUUUCUUAUUAUAAAUUAAAUCCUUUAAUUUCAAGUCCAAGUUACUUGUACUUAACAACUUAACGGAUGAUUAACAAACAAUAAAAUAUUAAUUGAAUUUAUUAAUUUUUUUAGGGUUGAAAGCUUGAAGCUACUGCACAAGUGCACAUAAUCACAUAACACAUUAUAAUUAUAAAAUAUAUACAACAUAAUACUUAAUUUUAAUAUUUAAUCUACCUAGUGUGCUAAUUUAUUCAUAAAAAAUCAAUUAUUAACAAAUUUCAAUUAAUAUUAUUUCAAUUAUUAUCAAUUAACAAAAUUUUUCUUAUUUGCUAGCUAACACCAUUUUCAUAUGUCCUUUAUGCUUGACUAUUAUGGUCUAUUCGCUAAAGAGAGCAAACGAUAACAAUCAAUGAAAUAAAAACAAAACCCACCAAUCAACAAUUCCUUUUUAUAUGUGAAAAAAAAAAUUCUGAAGAACUCAAUAAUUAACAAAAUUUCCUUGAUUUUAUUACUAAUAUUUAUAAAUACAUAAUUAGUUAAUUACAACAAUUAAAUAAUAACCAAUUACUGAAUUACAUAAUAAAAAAUUAAGCAUAUAUAAUUAAUUAAUUAUAUAGUAUAUAUAUACCAUGAAACGACUUAGGAAACUUGAAAAAAGUUGAAGCUUGAAAGUGGAAACUGGAAAUGGAAAGCUUCAAAAUCGGGUUUGGGUGGGGAGAAAGUCGGGUCGGGUUGUGAGGAUUCGGCCUUCAAGCAACAGAUCAGUUGCCACGGCUCACGAUUGGACGCGAUUUCACUUGGCAGUAGAUCGCGGCUUCACUUGGGAGUUGGCAGCAGCAGAUCGCAGAGAUGCGGAUGGUUCACGGCUCACGGCUGGACGGGUUUGACUUGGUAGCAGCUGGUCGCGACUUUAGUUGGCAGCAACAGAUCGUGGACUGGUGUGUGUGAGUCUUGUGGUGGCUGGUUGCGGACUUGCUGCUGCCUUGUUUGUGUUUGAGCUUGACAGUGAACUUGUGAUUUGUGAAGUUGUGAACUUGUGAUGGUGGUGUGUGGCUGACAGCGUGUGUGUGUUAGGUUUGUGAGUGAAUUUGUGAAUGUGAAUUGUUGAGUGACUGUGUACAGCGUGUGUGUGCAGCGUGUGUGUCAGUGUGUGUGAUGUGCAGCUUGUGUGUGUGCAGUGUAUGUGUGUGUGCUGUGUGCUGUGUGCAGUGUUAGCUUAGGUUUUUUUUUUUUUUUUUGCAACCCGAUCGGGUAUUCGGAUCGGGUCGGGUUUGACCCGAACCGAUCACAACCCGAUCGAGUUUGUAAUUCUUAAUCCGAUCGGGUUUCAAUCCCGACCCGAUCCAACCCGAAUCCGAAAUUUAUCGGGUCGGGUCGGAUCGGGUAAAAUGCCCACCCCUAACCAACAUUAUAACCCCAAAACAUCGCAAUAACAUGAAGGCUCCAAAUUCCAAUGUCGAUGAUAAAUACAGCCCGCCAAACAGUAAUUAUUAAGGUUAUAGGUGCGAAAGAAAAGCUAGGAAUUAAGCAUUACAUUAGUUAGCUAAGUCUACCUCAAGAAAGAGCUUUAAACCUAUUUUUAGAUAACGUUUCAUUUCUAAAAAUAAUAUCAUGAUCAAAUUUUUGUGGCCUGGUUAAAGAGUUUCUUGAAUGGAAUAAGCAUUCAAUCAUUUUCCUAGAUAAAUAAACGUAAAUUAACUAAAAAUAUUUUAUUAAUAUCAAUAAUGAUUUUUAUCAAAUCACAUACGACAACAUCUCACAAUAAUUCGAAAACAACCGUCCAUAUGGUAAACAGUACUAUCGAAUAAUAUAAACUCGUACUAAAAAAAUUUAUUUGUAUUUUGCUUCACUUGCCUAUCUCCUGUCACUUAACAAACUUACUUUCAUAUACACCCCUGAGAUUUAUAUAAAACAAGAACGGAUCCAAAGUUUAUCCAUUUUAAGCAUAUACACCAACUGGUCUGGUCAUACUUGGACAAAUUGGACCUCACAUACCGACAGCAGUGCCACCAGAAACCUACCCAGGCCCAGCCCAGCGCAAGAUGCCCCGCAACAACAGAGCGGGUUAACCAACCCAAGUCAGCCACGAAAUCAAGCGCGAAUGGCAAAGCAGCAAAUAGAAACUGCAUCCAGGGCAUGAGUUAAGCAUCACCGACUCGGUGGAAAGCUCUCGUUGGUGAUGAAAAAGUGGAAGCGUCGUCUUAAAUAGAGCAAAGCCGUAGCGAGAGAGAGAACUUGGAAGAAAAUUUUAAAAAAAAUAAAACGCCCCGUCUCUCUCUCUCUCUCUCUCUGUCUCUUUUCUUUUUUAUUUUUGCUUGGCCUCACUUUUUUUUUUCUUUUUCAAUAUUAUUACCUACGAUUAUCUCUUCGAUUGAAGGCAAGCUUUCACGUCCAUAAAACGACGUCGAUUAGUUUCAGUCUUGUCGGUUGAUCAAAACCUUGAUUUUUGAAACUGAUUUUUGGGGAAUUUUUUUUUACAGAUUAAUUCGGUUCGAUUUUGUAAAUCAAGAUCGGACGAAUAGGUGAGGGUUUUCUUUAUUUAUUUAUUUAUGGGAGUUUGCUUAUUUAUUUAAUUAUUUAGUUGGAAUUAUAGUUUAGUUUACAUAGUAGUUGGUUAAAAAUGAGAUUUUUUUCUCAAUUUUUGUGCUAGGUUUUUGAUGAUUUCUGAUUAUGGCUUCAAAAUAGAAACUUUGAUUGCUUCAAAGUUUUGAAGUGUGAGGCAAAAUGAGAAGUUGGGGUUGUGCUCUGUGAAACCAUCCUGAAUUUUGGGUUAAUUGGUCGAGAUUAUAAUUCCUUUCGUAUGUGUUUACUUGUUUCUUUUUUUUUAAUUGGUUUUUGUAUCUGUUUCAAAUAUUGUGGGUUAGGGGAUUUGUGCAAAGUGAAAACAAUUCAUAUCUGUUUCAGAUUCGUUUGAAAUUUAUAGUGUUAUGUUCACUUGCUAUACCAGUUUCGACCAUGGUAAAUUUAAUUUUUGUGCUGUCACGAGAUUGAUGAUUUGUAGGCGCACAACCUGCAAGCUUACUGAUGGAUAACAGAGUUUUCCCGAGUCCUAGAAAUAUUUUCAUUUAUGAACUCUAAGUCCUUCUGGAUGUGAACAUGAAUACUUGUGUAGGUAUUUUGUAGUUUCUUGGAUAUUAUUGAAACCAGUACCCAAUUGAAUAACGAGUGAAUGCAUUCGAGCCAUCUACCUACUAUUGUUUUAUGAUUUUUUUUUCAUUCCAUUUUGAACUUUUGAGGAUGAAUAUUAUAGAUUAACUGUGUUAUGUAUGAUAUAUGCUUGUAUCCCUUUUAGCAAUUAACUCUAUUAAGCUCUUACGUCCUCUCCUGGCUGAUAGCCGCUGAUUUAGGUUCUGUAAAUGUCACCCUUAAGUCUUAACCUAAGGUAUCCUGGUCAUUUCUUUUUUUUUAAUAUCAUAGAGCACUCUUUUCCUAUGCUUAGUCAAUCAUGAUGCAUUGCAGUGAAUUGACUAGUUAUAGUGAUUAGUGGCAUUGAUUGAAGUUGUUUUGUGCAGAUUAAGUUCUUUCCUUUUUCUUUGUCCAUAUUUUGUAUUUGUUUUGUUAGUUUUCUUGAAUGCAUCAUGGUCUGUGAGUUUGUUCAAUUUUUGUAUGGGAUUAUAUUGAUUGAUAUUGAGCUGGUGGCUGAAUCAUUUGUAUGGUUUAGUAGUUGUAUGUAGUAAUAUAGAUGAUAAGAUGAUUUCCUGGCAGGAGGUAGAAAAGAUGGAAUCACAUGAUGAAACUGGAUGCCAAGCUCCAGAAGGCCCCAUUCUUUGCGUCAACAAUUGUGGCUUCUUCGGAAGUGCUGCUACCAUGAAUAUGUGUUCCAAGUGCCACAAGGCCAUGAUCCUUAAUCAGGAACAGGCCCAACUAGCAGCUUCAUCUAUUGGGAGCAUUGUGCAUGGCAGCUCCGGUGGGACUGGCAAGGAGCCCAUCAUUGCUGGCAGCGUGGAUCUACAAGUGGGACCAGUUGAGAUAAAGAAAUUCUCCAUGGAACCAUCUAGUGGUUCUUCCUUUGGCUUCGCAGGAGUGAAAGCAAAGGAAGGCCCUAAAAGGUGUACAACUUGCAAUAAACGUGUCGGUUUGACAGGGUUCAAUUGCAGAUGUGGGAACCUCUUCUGUGCAGUUCACCGAUACUCUGACAAGCAUGGCUGUCCGUUUGAUUAUAGGACUGCUGCUCGGGAAGCAAUUGCUAAAGCCAACCCUGUCGUGAAGGCGGAGAAACUUGACAAAAUCUAGAAGUGAUGAACUGAAGGUUUAUGCAAAGAAUAUGAUGCUUUUCUUUUUAGGCACGCAUGAUAUAAGUUGGUUUCUUGUCUGGUUAGAUGUCCUUUAUUGGUAUAAAUGGUUUCAGGUCAUGAUUUUCAGGACAUCAUUGCAGUUAUAUUCCUUGCUGAUUGGCAAGGAUUCCCUUGUUGGCUCCAGUGUGUAAGUCUCUAUUUGUGCCUGGUUUUGAUGGACAACUUUGUGGUUAAUUUGUAAUAUUGCUUCUGGUUGGUAUGCAUUUCUUUGUAGUAGUAAAUGAGGGAAAAAAAAAUCGGUAUUUGCAGUGCAUCGAAACAUCUAUCAACUAUUCUCCUGCCAUUUCUUGUAUUACUACUUUUAUCCUUCUGCUGUCUAUGUUCUCACCUUAUCCUCCUUAAGUAUGAGCUUUGCACUGAUUGCGACUGAUGUUUUCUUCUCACUACUUUCAGUUAGAUUCAGUUAUCUCUCGCUGUUGUUGUAUCCAUAUCUGAAUGCUUUUUGUUAUUGCUCUAUGGUUGAUGUGCAUUUUUCUGUUUCAUAAACAGAUAUUUAUUUGCGGCACUAGGUGCAUCUUUGAAGCUAAUCUACUGCCAUCUGGUUCAGUACUUAUUAUCUUCUUCUAGCAGUUUGGUGAUAUUGUCUUCUCCUCCUAAAAUAUCACGCAUUGCAUGAAUAGUUGCUUUCUACUGAGAAUCAUUGUUCUGACUCUAUGACUCCUUGCUGAUUUACAUAUAUUUAUGGUUAUAAUACCAUAUUAACAUCAAUAUCAUGAAUGUUCUUGACCUCGUUAGUAAUGCCAUUACCUUGUUUCCGAGGACUCUUCCAGCUUUUCACUAUUUUUGAUGAACAGGAAAUGUGUUGAAUUGUAUGCGGUGUUCACCUUGCCUAUAAAGAAUUUGUUGAGAUAUAACAUUAAAUUUAAUUAGUUCUGAGGAGGACAGGCUAAAUCCCUCGUGCCUCUCUUGCUAUGAACCGGAGCCAUUAAAGCUGUUAUUCAUUGUGUGUUGUGAGAUUGUUACCACUUACCAGAUAAUUUUUGUGUCUUUGGAUACGCUGUGUACAAUACAAAGGAGCUGAGAGAGAGGUUAGAGGUUCAGGUGUCAACGUUAGUCUCUCUCGAUGGAUGUUGUUUAUUUAUGUUUCUAUGUUUACCACGUGUAUUUCUGAGCUACAACUUGGAAAAUUAAAUAAAAAAUUUGUGGAUUAUAAGUGAAAAUAAACGCAAUUUGAGAACAUAUUAGAUUUAUGGGCCUUUUGGCAAUCUCAGACGCACUUCAAGGAUUUAUUUGUUGAAUAUCUAAAGUUUUAUUAAUUUUAGAUAUUUUUGUAAAUCUAUUUGUUUGUCUCUUUUAUUUACUUAUGUUUGAUUUUUUUUAUAUUUAAAUUUAAUAAAAAGGUGAAUUUUUUUAUUUUAAUUAAAUGAGAAGUAAAUAUUAUAUGUUUAAAAAAUAUAUUAAAUAUAUUUAUUUCUUAAAUUAUAAAAUUUAAUUCUUCUUUUUUCUUAUAAAACAUAAAUAUCAAAUAAUUAUGUUUAAAAUGUUCUUUAUUUAUAAAAAUAAAUAAGUUAUUAUUUAUAUUUAGAGUAAUAAGAUUUAUAAGUAUAUCAUUUAGACAUUUGCAUAUGGAUAUUUUUAGAUUUUACAUCUAUUCAAAUUUCGGGGGGAAAACUUGUUGGCUAAGUGACUUUCAUAUCCUAAAAUAUGUUUUGUUUUAAUUAUUUAAAGUCAUAUCAUUAUGGUUCAUCACUAUUAAUAAAUAGUUACUAUUAAUAAAUAUUAACUAUUUAUUUUUUUUAAGUUCAGAGUUGGGCCGGUGGAGUUGGAGUAUGUAGGGUCUGAAUCUUGACUUGAAUUUAACUGGGCUUUAAUAUAUAUGCUUGAGUCUGAUUCUUGACUUUUAAAUUUGGUUCAAAGCCCGAAAAUUAUGAGUCGGGUCAAUUGGAUUAAAAAUCAGGUCUGACUUUUUUGUCAUCUUAGUAGAAAUUUUAAAUGCAUUUGAAGAUUUUUUUUGCUAAAUAUUUAAAGUCGAUAAGUUCUAUUAAUUUUAGAUACUUUUAUAAAUUAGUUUGUCUUUUUGUUUACUUAUGUUUGAAUUUCAGAUAUUUACAUUUAAAUAGAAAAAAGUGAAUUUUUGUGAUUUUUAUUUGAAUGAGAAAUAAAUAUUAUAUUUAAAAAUAUUUCUAUUAAAUAUAUUUAUUUCGUAAAUUAUAAAAUUUAAUUAUUUUUUUACUUAUAAAGAUGUAAAUGUCAAAUAUUAUGUUUAAGAAUUUUUUUAUUUAUAAAAAAAGACCAUUUACAUUUUAGAUAUUAGAAAAAUAAUAACAAAUAUAUCAUUUGGACAUUUGUAUUUUGAUUCUUAAAUCUAUUCAAAUUUCGAACAAAAAAAUAAAGCCAUGUCAUGACCCAGUCCAAACUUCCCAAAAUUUUUAGGGUGUACGAGCAUUCCAUAAAUAAAACUGUGCGGGUCUUGUUAAGGCCCAAAGUGGAUAAUAUCUUGGCAAGUUUGGGUUUGGUCAUGACAGAUGGUAUCAACGCAGCUCCGUGUGUCCUCUUGAACAAUGGUGGGAAAAACCUCAACGAGGAUGCUAAGUCCCUAAGGGGGUGUAUGUAACACCCUAAGUGAAUCCCACAUCGACAAACACACAUGCUGGGUUUAUAAAGGGUGAUCCACACCUUAAUUGACAAGAUGUAUUUUGGGGUAUAUAGGCGCUCCAGGAACAAAAUCGUGCGGAUUUUAUUAAGUCCAAAGCAGAUAAUAUCUUAUCAGGUCUGUGUUGGGUUAUGACAAGCUAAGUGACUUUAUUCAUAACGUAAGAUUAACGUGCAUUGUUGAGCAAUAAGAUUUUUGUAUUUCUUUUUUUAAACUCAUAUAUUGCAUUUGUGGAAAUCAAGGGUUAAAAUUAACGGUGAAAGGACAAUAAUAAAAGCCAAAGGAUGAUAUAAUGAAGAAAGCGAGCCAGCAACUAGCAAGGAAGAUUUGUUGAGGAAGGUGGCCGGCUGUUCUCCCCCACACAGCGCACCGUCUGCAGAAAGCAAUGUAAUCCUCAAAAGUAAAUAAUGUGUAUCAUUGUAGUUAUUAUUAUUAUUGUUCUUUAUGUAUAUAGCUUUCUUCAUUGCAAUUAAGUGAAAAUUUUGAUAAUGCCAAUUGGGGCAUUGCCGGCCAACUUUCACUCACUCACUCACCACCACCACCACCCACCAAAUCAUGAAUCAUGAUCAUCAAAAUUGAAGACAAAAAGGGCUGCCUCAAAAUUUUUGUUGGGACUUGAGGGCUUCUUUAUCUAGGGAAUAUUGCAGCACAAACAACUAGCGCGCAUACACCAAAACAUAAAACAAUUCAUUAUUGACUUUAAAAUAUAUAUUAUCAUAUGCACUUUGGACCCAAAGGCAAAACACACAGAAACAACGCCCUUGGAUGCUUCAAAUUCAGUCCCCUUUUUCUCAUUUGAUAUUAAAAGUUGACUCGUGAAUACGAGUAGAAAAUUUUUAGAAAGCAACAAAUUGAAUUGCAUCAACUAACCUUAUCUUGUGUUAUUAUUGUAUAUGACAAUAAUCAUUCUGGCCUCAUAUUGUUUGUAUAAAUUUUAGUAAAAUAGUGAUUAUUGAUUAAACGAUAAAGUAUUGAAGUGUGGAUGCUUUCGAGGUUUGGACACCUUUUUUUUUUUUUUCUAUAUGGUUGACAUAUUAAACUUUAGUCCCAUCAAUUUCUAGCUAGUAUCAUUUUUUGGUCGUAAAUUUUAAGUAGGCAAAGUUAAUUUGCUGCUGUUCACGGUAAACAAACUGUUCAAUUUCUGCAUGGUAAUAAUAAGGAACUUAUGGGCUACCAUGUUAUUUUUGACUUUGUGAGUGUGUAUGAUAGUUUCUUUGACAUUACCCACAAUUGGUGUUCAUAUCAUAGAUGGAAUACUUUUGUGCAAAAUAAUAAUUUCGUCCUUUCAAAAUAAUAAUAAUAAUUUCAUUACUCAGCCAACAAUAUAACAGCACAGAACACCUAGGAAAUUCAUCAGCACAAGGAGUAGUUCACUCACUCACUGGUAAGGUGUACAGGAAGAAAUUAUUCUUUUUCAGUGGGCUCUAACUACUCUUCUAACUUUGCAUAAUGAUGGGGUUAUUCUAAGUCUAGUAAUUUUUUAGAUCUGCAUCUAGAAAAUAAUUUCCAACACAAAUAAAAUAUCAAAACUACCAUAGACUUGAGGAAGAAGAACCACCACAACCUCGAAUCUAAGAGGAAACUUACUUAGGGAUGGUAGAAAAAUUCAGCCUGAGCUCGAGUAUCAUGGGUCAGGUCGGUUUUUUAGGUGAAGCUCGAGCUCAAAAAAUACUUUAAAAAAUUUUAGAAAAUAAAUAUUAUUUUAUUUAAAAUAUAAUAUUUAACAUAUAUUUAGUCCACCCCACCCAUAAUAUAUAUUUAAAAUUUUAAAUCAUUUAAUCAUAACUUUUAAAGUCCAAUUUAACCACAAAUAAAAUAAUAAUAAAAAACGGACCUAAACUUUACUAAACCCGACGUGAGCCCGAAAUUUUGUCAUCCCUAAACCUGCUCUCACAACAAAUCACAUUUUAGAAACAUGAUAAGCUAUUCUUGGUCUUGGAUGGUUCUUUUCACAUGAAACUUUUUAUUGAAAAGCAUAUGUAAAGUGUACCCAUUUUAAAGUCCAAUAACCAUGCCUGAAAUUUGUCAUUGGAAGUUAAAAAAAAAUAAAAGCAGGCUGUGUGAAGUGUAAAGAAGAUUCUUAGGAUACCUUUCUUUCUUUCUUUCUUUCUUGCCUUCUUUCUUUGAUUGUUUUUUAUUUAUGGCUGACAUGAGGCCAAAAUUUUGUAUAGAUUUUUUGACAGGAGGCUGCAAUAAUGGCUGUCCUUCAUUUUCCACUUAUACAGUAAAAGUCAAAAAUUUAAAUUUCUUGGUUGUCUGAAAAGUCAACUAGCAUUCUUGCCAAAAAGCAUUAAAUUUGACAUUUUUUGUUUUCCCCACCAACUACGCUUUGUUUUUUUUUUUUUUGUACGGACUCAGUAACUACGCCCCCCCCCCCAAAAUCAAUUUUUGCCCUUUACAAAACACAAUCAAUUUUGGGCAAUAGGGCAUGCCUUGAUUCAUUUAAAAGUAAUUAAGAAAAUGUUAAUUGGUUUUUCAAAUUAAAUUACUUGUGAUUAUGAACUACAAUUUGAUACACCCCCCCUCGGCCUAUAAUGAUUAUGAGAAGAUUUGAAUAAAAGGGAGUAUGGUAAAAGUUUAUAUAAGAUGAGCAAAAAAUUGAAUCCAAUAAUGUAUUUAGCACGAGGGAAAGUAACUACUUUAUUUUCACAAAUCUCAUAGUAAUUUUUCUUUGACUGGGCAUGCUUGUAUAAUUAUUACACUCAAUAGAAUUUUACUCUUCUUUCACACGCUUUUACGAGAAGACCGUCCAAUAGUUUGAUGAUAAAUUUUUAGAUCAUUCCAAACAAAUCUAAAGUUAUUACAAUGGAUCUGAUUUACUUAACUGUUUUUUUUUUUAUCUUUGAAGAAAUAUUUAGACUAUCUUUAUAGUAAUGUUAUGAUUACGACACUCAAAGAGUAUUGUUCCUCACAAUUUGGGCACCGUUAAAUAAUAAGAAUUUGUUGAUUAUUGUUGACUUUUUUUUUUAUUAUCAUCUAAUGGUGUCUAAAUUGUGAAAGUACAGUAACCAUAGGUUAUAAGGCACCAUCAUCAAUUCAUCAUAUUCAUAUACUAUAUUGGGUUAUUGUUUUUAAAAUUGUGAUAAAAUAUACCAACUACAUCAUGAUCCUGUUGAUUGAAGAUUUCCAAUUAAAUUUCCAAGUUGUUUCUUUUAAGAAAAAAGAAAAAUGCACCCUUAUAAUUGGAGUGAAUUAUGAAUUGCGUAUGGUGUGGUCCAACGUAGGCUAUAUAUUUAUAGCCUUUUGAUUUGUUUGGAAUGAUCACGACAUCGUUAUAAAUUUCUCAGUUAACUCCUUGGUGGCCCCCCACCAAGUUUGAUUAGAUCUUCACCGUUGGAAUCAAGAAAAUGUGGCAACCACUGAUCUCAUCCCUCCCUGGAACCUCCCGGCGCCGAAGCCGGGUGGUCAUUCACUUUCAUCAUAUCCAAUCAGCCUCUUGAUCAGACGGCGACCGCAUCUUUCUCUAAAUCUCUCCGCAUUCUAUAAUUAUCAAUCUAUAUAUAUAGAUAUUAAAUUACAAAAAAUAAUCGUAUUCUCUCGUGAUGUGGACACGUGCCAAGGGAAGUCUUGUCUGGUCUCUUCAGAAUCUUUUUGUCGUCACUAUCACUAGCUCACGAGAACUUUUCGAGUUUUGCAUUUUGUCUAUUUUUGUUAUAAUUAUUAUUAUUAUUUUUUUCUUUCGAAGUCUUGACUUUCAGACUUUUACCACUUUCUUAAUAAUAUCAUAAAAAUUGAUUCUCAUUUUUGUUUAUUACCAUAAGGCUGCACAAACAGGUCAACACACACAUAAUAGAAUUAAAAAAAAAAAAACCCUUAACUGAAAAAAAAAAUUAAAUGAACACAAAUAAAGGAACUCGAUCAAAUUUAUAAUGUUUUUGUCAAAAUCUUUUCAUCUGAACAUAUUAGUACUAUGAAAUAAAGUAAAAAUAAGUAAAACCUAUUGAAUUUUAAAUAGCCAAAAAAAAAAGACUUGUCUAUGGUUGUUGGGAGGUCAAAUCGUAUUAUCUUUUUGUAUUUCACGGAAAAAGUAAAAAAGUUUAACGUUGAGCCCACAAGCAAGGAAAGUCAUAAAGAGGUUAAAUUCUCAGCUUUCUUUUCAAAAUUACAGUACUAUUAUAAUUAUUAUUAUUAUUAUUGAGAAUCAAAAUUACAGUAGUAAUUCUUCAGAAACAUGCUGUGUUGAUCAUGUAGUAUAAGGUCCAAAAAACAUUGCCCAUAUCAAUGCCUGUACCUUUUGAACCCAUUAAUUGACCAUAUGCAUUGUCCAUUUUCAAGCUUAUAAUGUGACAAAAAUAGGACAUUAAUUUAUUAUUUUUUUAAUAAUCUUGUGACAAUGGUGUCUACAUAUAAUAUUUACGUGCUUUAGUUUAUUUUCAGCUGAUUUCCUGUAACUUUGCUGUAAUAUUUUUCUUUUCUCUAUGAAAUCUUCAUCAACAAAAGUCAUUAUGACUGUUUUGUAGCUCUGUGUAGAUGCUCUGCGUUACAGUCGAUCUCUCAUAAAGUCUCACUUUGAUCUACUGAUAUAUUAAAAAGAUUGAAAACAAAUCAACACAAAGCACUCUCUCAGUCUCCUUCAGUGACAAUGGCUACGGCCUCCUCCCCACUUUCAUUUCUUUGCCUCCACCUUCUUGUAUGCUUAACAUUCUUCGCUUUCACUUCUGCUUCAACUGAAAAAGAUACCCUUCUUUCCUUCAAGGCCUCCAUUGAUGACUCCAAGAACUCUCUUUCAACCUGGUCUAAUACUUCGAACAUUCACUACUGUAACUGGACUGGGGUCACUUGUGUUACUACUGCCACAGCUUCGCUUACUGUUGCUUCCAUCAAUCUUCAAAGUCUGAAUCUUUCUGGUGAAAUCUCAUCUUCAGUAUGUGAGCUUUCUAGACUCAGUAACUUGAACCUUGCUGACAAUCUCUUUAACCAGCCUAUACCUUUACAUCUUUCUCAGUGUAGCUCUUUGGAGACUUUGAAUCUUAGUAAUAAUCUCAUUUGGGGUACUAUCCCAGAUCAGAUUUCUCAGUUUGGUUCUUUGAAAGUUCUUGAUUUGAGCAGAAACCAUAUUGAAGGAAAGAUCCCAGAGAGCAUCGGCUCAUUGGUGAAUCUUCAGGUUCUCAACUUGGGAAGCAACUUGCUUUCGGGUAGUGUGCCUUUUGUUUUUGGGAAUUUUAGUGAGCUUGUUGUUCUUGAUUUGUCACAAAAUGCAUAUUUGAUGAGUGAAAUUCCUAGUGAUAUUGGCAAGCUUGAGAAGCUUGAGCAGCUGUUUCUGCAAAGUUCUGGUUUUCAUGGGGUGAUUCCUGAUUCUUUUGUGGGGUUGCAAAGUUUGUCCAUUUUGGACCUUUCACAGAAUAAUCUGACCGGUGAGGUUCCUCAAUCCCUUGGCUCUUCUCUGUUGAAAUUAGUGUCUUUUGAUGUUUCUCAGAACAAGCUUUCAGGUUCAUUCCCAAAUGGUAUUUGCACAGCAAAUGGCCUUGUAAACCUUAGUCUCCAUAAAAAUUUUUUCAAUGGUUCAAUCCCCGGUUCCAUUAAUGAAUGCUUGAAUCUCGAGAGGUUCCAGGUUCAAGACAAUGGUUUUUCUGGUGAUUUCCCUGAUAAAUUAUGGUCACUACCUAGGAUUAAGCUCAUCAGAGCUGAAAGCAAUAGAUUUUCCGGAGCAAUACCAGAUUCAAUAUCUAUGGCUGCUCAACUGGAGCAAGUUCAAAUUGAUAACAAUAGAUUCACUAGUAGCAUCCCUCAGGGUCUUGGGUCAGUUAAGAGCUUAUACAGAUUCUCUGCCUCUCAGAAUAGUUUCUAUGGUUCACUUCCUCCAAACUUUUGUGAUUCCCCUGUCAUGAGUAUCAUUAAUCUCUCCCAAAAUUCAAUUUCGGGUCAAAUUCCAGAGCUGAAAAAGUGUAGGAAACUAGUCUCAUUGUCAUUAGCAGACAAUAGUCUUACCGGAGAAAUCCCCCCAUCCCUAGCUGAAUUGCCUGUGCUAACCUACCUUGAUCUGUCGGAUAACAAUCUGACAGGUCCAAUCCCGCAGGGGCUUCAGAACUUGAAGCUUGCCCUGUUUAAUGUAUCCUUCAACAAACUAUCUGGUAGAGUCCCCUACUCCUUGAUCUCAGGUCUCCCAGCAUCGUACUUGCAAGGGAAUCCUGGACUUUGUGGCCCUGGGUUGUCAAAUUCUUGCGACGAAAAUCAGCCAAAACAUCGUACUUCUGGCCUCACAGCAUUGGCAUGUGUGAUGAUUUCUCUAGCACUUGCUGUUGGAAUUAUGAUGGUUGCUGCUGGGUUUUUUGUGUUUCAUCGAUAUUCCAAGAAGAAAUCUCAAGCAGGUGUUUGGCGCUCACUGUUCUUUUAUCCACUCAGAGUCACUGAACAUGAUUUGGUGAUUGGGAUGGACGAGAAAAGUGCUGCGGGAAAUGCUGGACCUUUUGGUAGAGUUUACAUUUUAAGCCUACCAAGUGGCGAGCUAAUUGCUGUUAAGAAGCUGGUCAAUUUUGGAUGCCAAUCUUCGAAAACUUUGAAGACUGAGGUGAAGACGUUAGCCAAGAUCAGGCAUAAGAACAUUGUUAAAGUUCUGGGGUUUUUUCAUUCGGAUGAAUCAAUCUUUCUGAUAUACGAAUUUCUACAAAUGGGGAGCUUAGGCGAUUUGAUUUGCAGGCAGGAUUUUCAGUUGCAGUGGAGUAUUAGAUUGAAAAUUGCCAUUGGGGUUGCUCAGGGAUUGGCAUACCUUCACAAGGAUUAUGUUCCACAUUUACUUCAUAGAAACGUAAAGUCCAAAAAUAUUCUCCUGGAUGCUGAUUUUGAACCAAAGCUCACAGAUUUUGCUCUUGACCGAAUUGUGGGAGAAGCUGCAUUUCAAUCAACCAUGUCUUCAGAAUAUGCACUCUCCUGUUACAAUGCACCAGGUAUAAUUAAGAUCUCAUACAUAUUCUUUUUCAACUCGUUAUGCAUCAUUUCUUCCAACAUUGUUGUAUCAAUUGCUGUAUUUUUAAUGUGAAUGUAUGUAACAGACGAAUUUGAAGGCUUAUAGGAAAACUUAGGUUGCUAUUAAAUAUAUUAGAUAACUCACUGUUACUUCUAAACUAGCCAUUCCUAAAUAGGCAGGGGACUAAACUGAAAUGGCAACAUUACUAAAUUUUCUUUUUGCUUGCAGAAUAUGGAUACAGUAAGAAAGCAACUGAACAGAUGGAUGCAUACAGCUUCGGUGUUGUGUUAUUAGAGCUCAUAACUGGCCGACAAGCUGAGCAAGCUGAGCCAGCAGAGUCUCUUGACGUUGUGAAGUGGGUUCGUAGAAAAAUCAACAUAACCAAUGGGGCAAUCCAAGUUCUAGACCCCAAGAUAGCGAACUGUUAUCAGCAACAGAUGCUUGGAGCACUGGAAAUCGCUCUGCGCUGCACUUCUGUGAUGCCUGAAAAACGACCAUCAAUGUUUGAAGUAGUGAAAGCACUUCAUUCCCUCAGCACAAGGACUAGUCUUCUGAGUAUCGAGCUCUCUAGUUCGCAGGAGCACUCAAUUCCUCUGUGAACAAUGCACUAAAAUACUGCCUCAUUUUUAUUUUUUUUUGGUUUGCCUUGUAUGUAAAUCCAACUUGAUUUUACAUUAUUUGAAUGUUCUUGGGCAUGGCUUUCUCUGUCCUUCACGAAAAUUGUUUUGGAAUUUUGAUCAAUAGCAAUGCAAGAAUGUUACAGUGUAUUUUAUUAUUGCCGCUUGUUCAUGUCAUCUAGAUAUUGCCCAUGACAUUGUCCCUGUUAAGAGUUCGAGAUGCAUCAGUAAUCACAUAGGUCUUCUACGCCCGGUGGCCACUCGAUUUUUAGUAGCACAACCGGUUUAGAGUUGUGAUACACUUACAAAAUUAAGACAUUAAUCUCCAUGUUUCAAAACGAUGGUGUGGGCAAAUGUUAAGUAGCUCUUUAUACCUAUCCCAAUAUUGGUAAAAAGUUUCUCCUAAAUUUUUAGUAAAAGUGGUGAUUUGUCUUUUGAAAGAAUUUAUUUUGUGGGGUGGAAACAAUUUUUUCAAAAAUUGUGCUUGCAUUUCAUUCCAAGUUCUGAUAGAUCAUGAUAUAAGAUUUUGUAGCCAAGUUUUAGCUUUAUCUUUUAGUGAGAAAGAGAAAACUUAAGCUUGAUUAUGUUCAUGCUACAAUUUUAAUCAGUAGAGGUGUUACAAACUUUCUCAAAUUCUCUCAAAUGCAUACAUAGAUUUUCAAACUCAAAAUCAUGAAAAGUAGUUAGAAGUUGGAUGAUACUAUGUUUGAAAUUAAAACGUGAUGCAUUAGGAGGAAAAAUUAUGCAUGACGGUGACCCUAAUCUAGUAGAAUGUGUGAAGUCUCUAAGGGUUUUGGGCUGUUCAUGAAGAUUGUGCAAGGUUUGAUUAUCUUCGUGCUCUGAAGAAUAAUCAACUCCAAUGUCAGUCAUAUCUAAGGUAGUGUUUAUUUUUUGGAUUGUAGUGGGAAUCCUUAAGAGUGGGAAUUUUAGGAUUUGGAGUGUGGAGUGGGAGUAGGAGUAUGUUGUUUACUUAUACUAAAAUAGAAGCAUGAAAUGGAAAUCAGAAUUCAAUUUAUGUGUUUACUUUGUCUUGGAUUGGGAGUAAAUAGUUUCAAAUUAUAAUUUUAUGCUUAUUUAAAGAAUUAUAGUUUUUUAAUUACAAAGUUAAUAAAAAAUAUAUUUAAUGAAUAAACAUUUAUUUUAUUAUAUUUGUAAAUUUAUAAUAAUGAUUAAUAUUCUUAAUUAUGAACAUCAAAUUUUUUUAUUAAUUUUAAUUUUAAUUAUAUAAAUUAAAAAUUAUUGAUAAGGGCAAUAUAAAUGAAAUAUUUUUACUAUUAACAUAGUAUGAAAUUAAUAUUUUCUUAGAAUAAACUAUUUAUUAGUAUUAAUUAUUAAUAUUAAAUAAAUAUAAUACUAAUAUUUUUAAAUAAAUAUAAUACUAUUAUUUUUAAAUAAAUAUAAUACUAUUAUAUUUUCAAAUAAAGAUGGUUUAUAGUAAUAUUAUUAAUUCUCUAUUAAUAUAAUAAUAUUAUUUUUAAGUAAUUUAGACUUAGAAUCAAACCAAAUGAUUAUUUAGUUAUAUAUAAUAAUAUUAUUUAAAUAAAUAUAAUAUUAUUUAAAUAUUUAUUAAAUUUAUAGUAAAUUUAAUAAAAAGAGGGUAAAUAUAAAAUGAAACAUUAUUUUAUUUUAUUUAAUAUAAUUAUAUUAAAUUUAUUAUUAUAUAAAAUAAUAAUAUAAUAUUAUUUAGUACAAAAUUAAUAUUUUCUUAGAAUAAACUAUUUAUUAUUAUUAAUUAUUAAUAUUAAAUAAAUAUAGUACUAUUAUUUUUAAAAUAAAUAUAAUAAUAUUAUUCAAAUAAAUAUAAUAUUAUUUAUUUUAUUUUAUUAAAUAUAAAAUAUUAAAUUAAGUUAAAUUAAAUUAAAUUAAAAAGGGUAGAAAAGUGAAUUUCAUAAAUUUAAAGAAAGAAAAAAAUGUGUUUUUUUUUUAAUUUUUAAAAUUUACUAGCCAAUUAAAUUUCAAUUAUUGCAUCUUAAUUGCUAUUUUAAAUGUCUAAGUCCAUGUCCGUUAUGUCCACAAAGUCCAAAAGUCCAACAAAUAAGGCAAAGUCCAAAGAUCCAAGUUCCAAUUCAGUUUUAGGGACUGAUUAGCAAACAUUUGUGGGCUAAAAUGAAGUUUUUAACAAAUUUUAUGGAUAAUGUUAAAAUUUUAAGAAAAGAGGGGCGCUAACUGAAGUUUCAUAAAUAGAGAAUGAAAUAAAAUGACGAAGAAAGAAACUAACAAAAUAAUAAUAAUAAUAAUAAUAAUAAUUAAUAAAUAAAUAAAGACAAAUGGACACAAAAUUUAGAAAAUCUCCAGCAACGGCGCCAAAAAUUUAACACGACUUAAAAGUAUUAUUACUCCCAAAUAUAAAAAUGUCUAGUUAUAAUAUAACUCGGUGAGUCCAGGAUCGAACUACAGGAAAUUUAAAAUCUAGUAGUCGAUAUGUAUAUAUAUAUAUAUAUAUAUAUAUAUAUAUAUAUAUAUAUAUAUAUAUAUAUGUAUGUAUGUAUGUAUGUAUGUAUGUAUGUAUGUAUGUAUGUAUGUAUGUAUGUAUGUAUGUAUGUAUGUAUGUAUGUAUGUAUGUAUGUAUGUAUGUAUGUAUGUAUCUUUGUUUGUAUAUAUAUAUGUAUAUUUCCACACACUUUCUCUCCCUCCCUUCCUCUCUCUCUCUCUCUAUCUCUACACACACACACAUACUUAAUUUGCUAUAAUUCUAACUUAAUUGUUUUAUUCAGUAAACGUGUUAGUGCUCGUUAAGUAGUAUACGUGUCAGUGCUCGUUCAAUAUAUAUAAAUGUUAAUGAUAGGAUUUUUGGAGCCUUCUAUAAAUAAAAUCUUUAAAGUUUUAUAUUAUUUGUUUACACACACAAACAUUGAUAAUAAUUGUAUCACCCAGAGCUGCGGAAAGUACAGGCCCUGGAGUUUGUCCACUAAUGGCAAUAGCAAAUUUCUUAUAGUAGUCAAUAUAUUUGUAACUGUAUGAAAUUGCACAUGUUAAGUUGUGAUAGGGAUGGCAAAAUCCUCCACGGGUUUGGGGCUUCAUAGAACCCCACCUCAAAUGGGGAAAAUUUUAAAUAAUUUUUGGAAAAUUUGGGAAAAAUAAUCCUCAAAUUCUUAAUGUGUGGGGGUUUGGUUUUGUACUUCCCACCCUAACCUCCAUUAUAUAUAAAUAUGUUUUUAAUUCUUAUUUAAUAAUUUUUAUUUUAUCAACUAUAAUGUCAAUUAAUAAUUUUUUAAAUUUUAUGUAAUAUAAACAUGUUAUGAAUAAAAGAAAACUCUACAAUAUAAUUCUUUUUCAACUCUAAAACAUUAUUAUGUUUUCUUUUCUCUUUUAAAGUGCUGUUAUCUUUAAAUAUUUUUUAGUUUUGAUAUCAUUUUAAGAUAUUGUUUCAAACUUUUAGAGAUUUUUUUAAAAUAAUUAAAAUACUUUAUAAUAUGGUGAUGAUUUUAUUUUAAGUUUCUAAUUUUUAAUUUACUAAAAUCAUAUAUGUAUACCUACUAUAAAAUAUAUAAAUAAGGAAUGGGAUGGAGAUGGAAAUAUAAUUCCCCACAUAGGAAUUCUCCAUCCCCACCCUACUAAAUUUAUUGGGAAAUGGGAUAGGGAAUGGGAUGGGUUUCCCAACCCUCACUCCACCCCAUUGUCAUACCUACUCGUUAUAAUAUUUUAUUGAUUACUAUUUUAUAGUAAAUAAAAUUACUUCAAGGACAAAAAGAAUAUGAGAAUUUACUGUAAACCCAGAUAAUGAGAACUCCAUGAUUGUUUUCCUUUUAAUUUCUGUAGUUAUAAGAACAUUUUGAAAGUUAAAUGGGUUUUACUCUGGAUCACCAAAACUUUGAGCUUUUCUUGAACCUUUUUUUUUUUUUUGGUUUUUAUUUUUCGGUUACAGCCCGCAGAAGUGAUUUUCUCAGUUUUCGAGGCUCGAAAAUUUUGCACAAACAGAGAAAUUUGUGUCUAUACGGAGCUAGCCUUGUUCAAUAAAUAAUAUGAUCAGAGGCUUAUAAAUUACUUCUCCUAAAAUAUUUUACCCAGAUAACUUUUCAAUGCGAAGGAAAUUUUUUAGUUGAUUGCAGCAGUGGAUUCAUGAAGAGAUUUGGCUUGGUUUAUUAAAGAUUUCGGUUGGGGCAAAGAGGUUAAUUACUGUUGCAGUGCUGGGUAAACUAGAUGGUGGUUAUAGGGGUAGUUUCGGGAUUUAGUGUGGUAAAAUAAAUCUAUUUUUUUCUCCCACUUUGGUAACCCUAUUCCCACCUCUAUAUAUAUAUAUAUUUAAGUGAUUUUAAUAUUUUAUCAACUAAACUAACUAGCACUCACUGUGUAACACUAUAAAAUAGUUUUUUUUUAAAGUCUGUUGUACAGAGAUAUUACUGACAUUACAUCAGACAUUACAAUUAAUAUUUACAAUCAUACUAUAUAAUUGGGACCACCAUCAUACAUUGACACACUGAAGUAUAUGUCCAGAUAUUUUAAACCCUCUCUAAUAUUCGAGGGUUGACUGCUCCACUCAUAUUUCGUAAGGGAGAGACUGUCUCCACUUAAUUAAUUGAUAAUUGAGGAAGAACUAAAACUAACCUCCAUAAUGCUCUUAUGAAAGCUCGAACCCUUGCACUCAAUAUUGUAAGUGUAAGGCUUCUCUCAUUGGACCAAAGGUCAAUUGGUACACUAUAAAAUAGUUAAUUUCAGAUUUUUAUACAAAACUUAACUAUAGUUUGAUGAGAUAAAAAUGACGGAUUUGAAUAGCCCCAGUCUUCGUAGUGGAAGUUUUCAAUUUAUACCAACUUUGAGCAGUGUGUAUUAUAUUUUUAUUAUAUAUUUAUUACUACAAAGAUGAAAUGUUGUGGGCCCCUGAUUUUGCUUUGGCGAGUUAAUUUAAUUGUAUAAUUUAAUGCAAUUAAACUAAUUUUGGUUAAGCUUAUCAAAAAGAAAAAAAUAAAACUAAUUAUGGUUAUCACAAUCAGUCUCUUGUUAUCACUUUAAGACUCUUCUAAAAAUCACACUUUUUAUAUUUGUAAUGAUACAACUCACAAACAAAUAACAUUUGGAGAACACAGAUAGAUUAAGCCGGUUGCAGAAGAUUUCAAGCUGGUCUGGUUAAUUAGCAGUGAAGUGAUCUGUAAAUUCCUUAGUUUAAUUUGUUAAUUAAGUUUUUCUUAAUUUUCUGAACUAAUUUAAUUAUAUAUCUUGCAUGCACAUUGAUGAAAUAAGUAGCUUCCUUUUUUUUCCUCUUUCUUUUUUAUGUGAUUUCUUCUCAAUUUCAGAUUAUUAGGGUUUGAAUUUGGGGAGUGACGGAGAGCAGAUCCUUGUCCUAGCCUACUAGCUGAGGUAUGUACAAUUUUAUUUAAUUUUAGUACAUUUUCUCUGUACAAUCAGUGGUGAUAUUUAUCAAUUCAUCAUGCUGAUGAUAAUGGUAUUUUAAAAAUUACGAUUGCUUCCUUCAAGUCAUAGACUAUAAAUUAAUUAUGUAUGUAUUUAAUUUGAUCAGUGAGACUGUCGAUUAAUAAAUCCAAUAGGUUUGCUUAAAUUAUUAAAACUUAUAUACGCUAUAUAAUUUGAAUAUUUCAAUCUUAAUUGCUUCGCGAACAGUUUUGGGUUGCAGUGGGGCUUUUGUUUCUGCUAUAUAAUUAAAAUAUUUUACAAGAUAUUAGUGGAAGCCCUUUAGCCUUGAUCAUAUUAUGCAAGUUGAUAAUGCACGUCAGGAUUUGGUCUUAGAUAGUCUCAGUUUGGUCUUAUCCCCUCCAAGAGAUUUCUUUGUAUGUUUUAAAUGUGUCGCAAGUUCAUUUAUCAUACGGACAUCCGUAUUUAUUAGAAUUUGGAUUUGAGAUUUUACAACAUUGUAGAAUCCCGAAUACACAUUUUAAAACAUAUGGAGGUUCGCGCCUGAUACAUUCACAUAUAUACACAUUUAAAGUAUUUUGUUAAUUUUGAUCCGAAACGAUUAUAAGAAGGAUUUGGAGGAAGUGAUACAUAUGGCAAAGGAAGAAUAUUCGGGCACUAUAUUGAAAGAGAAAGAAUGAGUUUCUUUUAGUUUUUAAGUUGUAUAUAUUGAAAGAGAAAUUGUAGAUAAUAUUAACUUAGAUGCGAUAAUAAAUGAGGUUUUUUGUGUUUUUCUUAUUUACAUUGUAUUAUUAUUGUUAUUUUCCUUAUGUAGUGUAUUUUAACAAUAUCGUUCGUAUAGAACAAACUCCUUUAGAGUAAAUUUAAUUUUUUUUUUAAAUCUAGCCCACCCCCAAAAAAUGAUGCUUGCUUCGCCACAAUUUCUUCUGCAUAGACAUUCGCAUGCUUAAAUUUAGAUUUAGAAAUAUUCAAUUUAUAAAACUCCGAAUUCACAUUUUAAAAAAAUAUGGAUGUCCAUGCUAAAGAAAACUAUACACACACACAUGCAUAUUUCAGAUAUUUUGUUAAUUAUGAUCUGAAUGACUCUGAGAAGGAUUUGGAGGAAGUGAUACACAUGACAAAGGAAGAAUAUUUGGUCCCUCUCAGACGGUAAGCCUUUUAUUAGAGAAAAAGAGAGUAAAGUCAAAGGCUUCAAUCAAUAUUGAUGGAAUCAACUUAUAUUUAUAAGGUCUUGCUUUAACUUGACAAAUUUCAGAAAAACUAUAGAUUGCUCAAAACGUGCUUCCGAUUACCGCGGGGUCUCCAGGUAAUUCUGAUAGUUUCUCUAUGCCACUUAAGUAAUCUGUAGCUGUAUCUUCAAUUAGAGAAUUUCUUCUGUAUCUUUUUUGUACAAACAAUAAGUAAUGCUUUUGAUGAGCAGAAAUCCGAACUUUAAGAAAUGGCAGGCUAGACUAGGAAAAACAAAGCAAACAAAAGCCAUUUACCUUGGAACUUUUGGUGAGUCCUAUAAUUUUAAAAAUCAUCAUAUUUUGUUUUAUAUCAUGAAGCUAAUGGCCGAAAGGUAAUAAUUAGUAUUGGUUAUGUAUCAUCUUGAACUUGUUCCAAUUAUGUAUAUGUUUCUGUUCAAACAAUCAGAAAAUGAAGAGGAAGCUGCCGUAGCUUACGAUAUUGCGGCCAUAAGGGUUAAAGGUGUAGAAGCAAUUACCAAUUUCGAUAAAAGCCAGUAUGAUGUCAAUGGCAUUACUGCGAGUGAAAAGAUACCAAUUGGCAAGGGUGUUUCAAGGUUUAUAAAGGAGAAUUCAGUGAAUGAUGUUCUUAUUAUGAAGAAAAGGAGAACUUCAAGACUUCCCACUUUGUGUCUAAAACGAGAUAGCUCUCAUCAAGUGAUGAUAAACCCACAAUUGGGAUCAUCAUCUCAAAGCUUGGCAUCCUCAGAGGAACAAAGGAAUCAGGUUAAUCAAAUGACUAUUGACGAUUUCAGCCACCAACACCCUAACGAGUUUCAAACUAAUAACUCUUCUGCUGAUGCAAAUUUAGGCAGUGGCCUAGGGUUUUCGAGUGAUGAUGGAGUUCUUGAGGGGCUCGUAGCAAUGAUAAAUGAUGGAGAGAAUCAGCAGUUCACCCAACAGGUCCUAGAUGAUUACCCUAGCUCCUCCCUUAUGAAAGCCUAUGAAAACCCUAACUCUCUUUUUGUUGAUGGCUACCAAAACCCUAGCAACUUCCCCCACCAAGUCCAUCAAAAUGACUUGCAAACUAAUAAUCCUAGUUUCCUUACUCAUCAGUUGGGCGCAGACGGAAGUGGAAGUGCAUCCAGGAUCAAUGAAGGAGUUUCGAGUGAUGGAAUUAUGGAGGGUUGUUCAACACUGAUGGGCAAUGAGGACGAGGAUUUUGCCUUCGAUGACUUUCUUGAUAUGCAACAAAUGUCGACGGAUGGAAACUUUCCAAAAAUGCCAUCUCCAUAAAGCCAAGAUUCUCUGUUUCAACCUAAUGGCAUCCAUUUGGGGGGAAAUUCAAAGAGUAGCCAUGAUGGAGCCAGCAUAGUUUUAGCAAAAGACUACGCGAAGUGGUAGAUGGAGGUUUGUUUUUUAAGACCUUUUUGGUGAUGACUUUGAAUUUUAAUUGCUUCCAGUUCGCUGUAUAGAUGAGUUUGAUGAAAAUUCGUCCGAAAGCUGACUGAGUCAAUCAUCCUCCGAAAUGUCAUUAGUAUCCGGCUGAUUGGAAAAUAAAUUAAAAAUUAAACAAAACAUAAUUAAAUCAAUUGUGAACCGAAUUGAUUGCCCACACCUAUCUCCACUUGUACUCUUUGAAGACUCUAUAAGUGUUUAUAUAUAUAUAUAUAUAUAUAUAUAUAUAUAUAUUCUCAUGAGAAAUUGAAAUAAAAAGUGAAAUUAAAAUUUUUAAUAUAUAGUAAGAGAAUGAGUUAAUGCAAAUAACACAUGAUUUGGAGCGAUGAAUUGCUGCUUUAAUAUCACGAAAAGUGGUAGAAAUGUGGUAAUUUGUGAUAAUUAUAUGAUCAUGACGGAGUGUAAGUAGCAGAAAACCCUUCAAGAUGCCCACCCUAACGUUAUAUAUACUCCUACUGGUAUAGUCAAUUAAUCGCAUUGUUGAAUUUUGACAUGGCAUGCCAGAGAUAGACCAUAUAUGCAGUUCAUGCAUUAAUGGCCACCACAUCCUCCAUCUCCAAAAGCCCUUUUUCUAGUUUCCAAGAGUCAAUCUCCCUUGCUGUAAGCAGUUUUCGAUUUUCUUCGUGAUGAUGAUGCUGCCGCCCACCACUGGAGUGCUCUUCAUCAUGACGAUCCUCAAUCCAUGAGUGUGGCCAAUACCAUGAUCACGACGGUCAUCGCAUGAACCUGCAGGCCUAGAACAAGAGCCAUUUGAUUCCCACGUACCCUUCUGCCGAUAAAGAGCUCAAAUAAAUAGCAAAAUCCGCAACAUCUGAAAGCAAAUGUGCUGCAUCAGUCAAUAUUGCUCCUUUCUUUAUCAAGAACAUCCACAAUUAUGAGUGAAUCAACAAUACUGAUGAGACUGAGACUUUUCGAAUAUUAAUUCUCUUGUCCAGCUCUCUGCAGUUAAUGGAUCAAUGAGAAGAUAUAUAUAUAUUUUUUGGCUUGCAAGUAAGAAAACGGAAAGCGAAGUUAGCCAUGAGUGAAACAUGAAAUUGUGUAAUGCAAAUGUUAGCAACAGCCAACAAACUGCAAGGAAAAUUAAAGCAACAAAAUAUUGAUGGGGAAACUUUAGUGCCUUUAAAUAAGGAUAAAUGCGUGCGAUAUUGUUAAAUUAAAACAUCAUCAGAAUGUGAAAGAAUUGUUAGGUUUAAAGUUGUUGUGAAAUCAAAAUUAAGUGGAUAAAAUGCCCUUGGCUUAGAAGUUAUUGUGUAUCACCAAUGAUGGGAACAACUUAUGUGGCAUAAUUUUUAACACCUUUCUAUCAUAGAAUUUUGUUUUUUUAAUUCAUUUAGACUUCUAUAUUUACUACCCUAUAUCAUUUUUCAUGUGAUGUUUUUGUCUUCGAUGCAAUAUUCUUGUAUAGGGGUGUAAAAUUAGUUAGUUAAGAGUAAUGCUAAGACUCAAAUUAGGACUCAAUUGUUAGAAUCUCUAAUGUUAUUGUAUUUUUUUCAAUCCAAAAUAUGGCUUAUAAAUAAGUUUCUCGAACAACAAAUAUUAAUUGUGUUCAUAUUGUCAGCAUGCAUUUGAUUAAAUAUGCAGUUUUAACUUAAUUAUUAAGUAUUCAAAGUAUUAACUUACACGAGGACUGAUAAUAUGGAAGAUUCUUAUCAUGGAAACAUAUCAAGAAUAACGGAAUGAAAAGCUAAACUUUAGGAAUUGGAAUUGUAACAGAUAAUUAAUUGAUUACUUGAUGAACCAAAUUAAAGGUAUCAAUUCAAUUAAAUAGGAUGAUUUAGGUAUAUAAUCUGACCAGAAAAAUAAAUGGUUAUUGACAUUCAUAGUUGUCUCAUCAUUGCUUUGAUAUAAUUUUAAUUUCACACGCAAAAUUACGAUAAAAGAUUGUCAAUUUCAUGGAUUUGAAAUCCAUAAUUAAUGAGAAUUUUCUUUCUUAUGUUCAAAGUUGACAUUUUGAAUUUUCAAACUGUAUCUUUAUUAAUUUGGAGACAUUUGGCAACAGCUACACAUACUUGCUAAUUAUAUUCAGACUUUAUUUGGAAUAAUUGUGAUGAAAAACAUCUUGUUACUCAAAAUUUCAAGUCACUCACAUGGGUGCUUAACUAAUAUAAUCUCACGUUUAAUUUAACAUUAAUCAUGCAAUAUGAUUCACCUUCCAUAGUUGAACAAAUCUUAAUUAAUAAAACAUCCCUUUGAUCACCCAUAUCUCAUAUUAAUUUAACAUGAAUCACGCCGUAUAAUUGCCUUCCAUAAUAAAAAAGAUUGAGCUCUCAAUAUAUAGAACGUCUCUUCCAUCACCAUUUUUUCAAACUCAAAAUCUUGAUGAUUGUUAUUAUUCCAUGGGAACCCUAAGUAGCCCGAAACCAUGCCUCUCAGAGAGCUCUAGUAUCUCAGCAACAUCUCAGCAACAAGAAGCUCCAAACAAACAAGUUGCUGAAGUAACCGAGCCGAUCCAAACCAAAUCAAAAUUCAAUAUUUUGUUCAAUCAAAAUAUUGCUAUCGAUAAUGUUUCGGUUACUGAAUCUGAAGUUGAGCUCAGGCUUUUCAGCAUGGGUGGUACUUCUAAUCCUCAAGCAAAUGAAUCAUCUUCCCACGAAAGCAUACGUAAAAAGCAGCCGAAACAAAAGGGUUUUUUGUGCAAUUUUUGCAACAAAAUUUUUUCUACUUCUCAAGCAUUAGGGGGACACCAAAACGCACAUAAACAAGAGAGAGCAUUAGCAAAACGACGCAAGGAAAUGGAUAUGGGGGCUUUAGGGCAUCAUCAUUAUCCUUAUUAUCCUUAUUCAUCAAGUGCAGCUCAUCAAAACCCUAAUUUUUAUGGAUCUCUAUUCAACCGAUCAUCACCUCUUGGGGUUAGCAUGCAGCCAAUGAUUCGUAAGCCUUCCUAUCCAUGGGUUCCUCUUUGGGAUCGUUUCGGUGGCCAUGGAAAAACAGUGAUGAAUGCACAGCUAGCUUAUGAUAAAAUGAGGUUGGAGAGUGUUAUGGAAGCUCAAAACGGUGGCGUCCGUGCCGAAUUUCGGAACUUAAAUGGUUCAAGCAUGGCAGCAAAAAGGCCAAACAACGACGGUGGUGACCGUCUAAAGGGAAAUAGUUCAUCACAAAGUAAUCAACAUGAUGAUGAUUCGGGACUUGAUUUGUCUCUUAAACUUUGAUUGUUACUGUCUUUAAUCAAUUUAAGAUCGUUAACUUUUUACUGUUAUUGUAUUUGAGUAGUUGUUUCCCUACUUUGCUAAAUGAAAUUACUUUUAUUAUGAUUAAAUGGUUCUCUUUUGAAACCAAGUUUUUUAAGGCAAAUAUCUUCAAGUUGCCUGCAUGUUAAAUAUUAAUGCUGUUGUUUAUUAACAUAUAUGAUAUAACAUCAAGUCUUUAGGACAUGUGCAUGGUUGAAAAAUUAACUCGUAAUUAAUCUCUUCUCCCUCUUACAUCUUUUAAAAAAUAAAUAAUUUAUUUACUAAUUAAUCUCUUUUCUUUUGUUGGGCCAUAUCACUAUUAACUGUCCUAAAAAUACAUUAUAUUUCACAGAACAAAUUUUUUUUUUUUUUUACAUUGCAUAAUUUCUUAAAAUGACCACCCAAAUUCGAAGAGAGAAAUAAGGAUUAAAAUUUGAUUUUAAAAAAUAAUUAGAUUAUUACUAUUUUUAUUAUUUUUUUCAUUCGUAGGACCUUGGGCAAGAUGAGAUUCUUUGCUAAUAUAUAGAUAUUUUUUUUACCAUAAUGAUUUUCCUUCAAUUUUAGAGUACUUGAUCAUUUGGAAGGAAAGUUGGAUAUUAAAACUCAAUGCCUUUGACUAUUACUGUCACUUUGACAAGCCUUCCAAAAAUGAUAGAAUAUUUACUCACACAUGCCAGUUAUAAUUAUUAUUGAAGACAAUUUGAUCUGCUUUUAAGUAAUAUCAUGCUUUUUCAGGAACCAUGCCUCAGUAAACCCAGUAAAUAGUUAAUCCCAAAAAUAUUUUACCAGACUUUCUCCUGCAUUUUGUCGAUUACAAUAUUAAAAAAGAAAAAUCUUGCUUGGCCAAUAAAUAUCAAAGUAUUUGAUUUUUUUUUAAAAAAAAACAUUUUUAGGCGAACAAUAAAAUUAAUUAAAAUUUUUUAAAAAAUCCCUAAAAGAAAUUCUACUGAAAAAACUAUUUUUUAACAAAACAAAAGAAAAAAAAUUUGAGAAUGAUCAACGAUGAGCUGAUUUUAUGGUUGAGAAACGUGUAACAUAAAUGCCCAAUACAAGCAAAGCCCAAAAACGGGACGAAAUUAGUUCCCAAUCUUUUGCUACAUAUCAACUUGUGGGUUGCUGUGCAUUUGACCAUUUGAUGGACAAUUUUUACCGCAUAAUAAUUGUCUUUUAUUACUGACUCUUCUCACUGUUACAAAUCGUCGGAUACUUUAAUUCAUUAAUGGAUAUGUUAAAAUAGCUAAUAUACAAAGAUAUAAACAGCCAGUUUACUUGCUAGUUAAGGUAGGAUACUGCUAAAACUCCUAGAGUGGAAUCUCCUGCUUACAUGUUUGAUACAAGCUCAAACCACAACACACAAAAACCAAAAGCUUUUGCACAUUUGAAACUUCUUUGAAUUUAAUCUAUUAUGUUCUUUUUUCCAGUUUACAGCUGUUCGUCUUGUCUUCAUAUCAAGCUUCUUCUUAGCUUAUGGUGCAAAUGAAGAAAAAUGGUAAACGAAAAAGAAACAACACAGAUAUACAUAUUGAACACACAGUUACUGUCAACCUUCAAGAAGACCAGACCUCGCGAAGGAGCUCGUACCUCGCAUUUGAGCCAGUGUAAUAUGUAUGAUUCUUGUGUUUACCAUUUCCAUUUUCGGUGGCUAUGAUAGAUGGUGACGGAGGCAAUUUAUCGAUAAUAGAUGAAAGAGGAGAAUCCAGUUCCUCGAGUUCGUCAUCGCUGGUAUAUCCUUUCCUCUGUACCGAAGACACAUUCCUUAACAAAUGAGAUUUGCCUCCUGCCUCUGCAACUUUUUCUGCCACAUCAGUAGAGGAUGGAGGGUUGUACUCGACCGGGGCAGCAGUAUACGGGAAGCUUCUAGCUGAAUCUCCUGAUAAUCUCCGCUCAAUAAUGCUCUAAAUACAUAAAAAAAUAAUCCGAUUACAAAUUUAAUCACUGCCUGUUCUCCAUUUUCAAUUAUAUCUCUGCUUUUCGGUGAUAUAAGAUCUCUAAGGCCACAUAAAGAAAAGUAAUAUUAUUUCUAUAUGCUAUAGCCGUCUAAAACCCAGAAAACUAGAUAUCAUACAAACUUUCACUAGGUACCAUUGGCAAAUUUCAAAAAAAAUCUUGAUGAAAACCAAAGAAUGAUGGUUUCAAGUGUUGGAUGAAUGAUAAUUGAUUAUACAUUCCAUUUUGCUCAACAAAAAUGAAAUUUAAUGAAAUUUAAGCAUAAUAUUUCCAUAUAUGUGUGACGAGACACAAAAAUAAAGGUCAACUCCAUGGACAUAGACUGAAAAAUGAAAUAUGAUCCGAAGCUCAUACCUCAGCAUUCAAUGCCUCCAAUACAGCUCCUGGGACUGCAUCUGGACAGAAUUCAUCUGGAGUAAAGUUGCAAAGUAUCCGUUUAACCAAUGAAAGACUAAUCAAUGGGCACACCUAAAAGAAUGACAAUAGAAAGUUUAAUCUAGCUAUUCUUUCAAUUCAACAGAAAACACAAACAUUAUAAAUUCUAAGUGCAAAUUUGCUUUAAUUAUAAAAUUAACCUCUUGUCUUAUUGAUCGGUCCAUUAGCAUGUCUUUUGGGAGCAUCAGAAGAUCACUAAAAGAAUUAAGAAGAAUAAAGGAUUUAGGUUCACCAACUCCAUCCUGCCCAUCAUCAUCCUCUGUGAAGUCUUCAUCUUCUUUAGGAGAAUCAUCAGUGUCCAUGCCAAACAUAUCAGUAAGCCAUCUAGACCAAUUGCCAACCUGCAUAGACAGUGCUUCAGUUUCAUCACGACUUAAAAAAAAAAAAGGUCAGAGACUUAUAGAUGAUAUUAAUCAGUGAACAAACCACUGCAAUGCAAACUAAACCUAAAUGAAAGCAAUAUUACAAUUAAUAUCUGCAAGAAAAGUCCAUGAAGAAAUCAUUCAAAUAAUGUUGUAUGCAAAUAACAAUAAGUGUUCGUGCAGUACUUGCAAAAGAAUUUCAAUUUAGAUCAGGAUGAAUGUGCUUCUCUUCAUUCUGGGUAAAUGUUGCAAAAAUAUUCAUUAUUCUAAAGAUUGAUAAUUCUGUUUGAUUAAUCAAAACAGAUAACUUGAGAAACAGGUCGCACAUGGACAUGCUUAAAUAAACCACAGGAACCGUGUAAAAGUGAAUUAAAAAUAAUACGUACAGAAUUUUUCAGUUGUGCCCCAGAUCCAAAGCUCAAAUCACCAGCAGGAAUGGGCAAAACUUUGGAAUCUAAUAUAGGAUCUGACACAGGAUCAGUUGGAAUCUCAUUGGCUGACUCACGCAGAAUUGCAUUAAACAUUGCGACAUCUAGUCGGGCAACACACUGUUCCAUAACCUAGUGAUACAAAUUAUAUACAAUUAAAGACCAUAAUGAAAGCAAAGAAACUAAAGCAGAAAUUGGUCAUAUUCUGACAGUCUGCUACAAAGUAACAGAGAAUUUGUUUCUUCUUACCUUAAAAUUUAUGAAAGGCAGGAAAAUAGCGAGUGAAGAAAACACAGAAAACUACAUAUACAUACCAUUCUCCCCAAAACAGGUAAGCAACCACAUUCAUGCCCUCCUGCUCGAACAGGACAAAGUUUUUGAAGAGCAUCCUGAAAAGCAUUUUUCCACAGGUUGAUAGAAAAACUGCCCUGCUGCUGGUCACCUAAGGCUGGUCCUAACAAUUUUCCAAUGGGUUUAGUGGUUGACCCAACAGGAGAUUGCAUAUGAGGAGUCAACGCCUGAAAUGUUAAAAGGGUGCAUCAGAGCCUUUUCAGAUGUAUUGGUACACAAGGAAUCACUACUGAUAAAAAUCUUUAUAAGAACAACAAAAAGAAUGGGAAAGAUUAUUUGCAUUGAUAUUGAAAUUCAUUGUAGCUUCGGCAUAUCACUUAAUCAUCAGUUCAUAAACAUCAAGUUACAGGCUCAAUACUGUUUAAAGAGCCAAAAAAAAAAAAGUAAUAAUGUUAAAUGCGUACUUUCAUUAGAUGAUUUCCAUGAACCAACAGCAACAAAUUAACAUUGUGAGAAGUCUUUACCUGCCACCAUACAGACUCAACUAUCCGGGAGAAAAUCCAAGAUUCAACUUUUUGUAAUGCAGCUAUGAAAGUUCCCAUCUCUUGCCAGUCUUCAUCAAACUGCAGAUGACCAUUUAGUUGUUUAUUACCAGAACCACCCUUCCAUUUCAGUGAUUGAGACUUUCCUUCACUUUUUUUGCUAAACCCAUUUGACUCAGAAAUCCUCGUAACUGGGGUCGAGUUGUGUGAAUUGCCAAAUGCCUGGCAAAUGAUCUCCCUCAGCACAAUGGUGUUUGACAACCAGAAGGUUAACCUUAACAUAAAAAGAAUAAAACAUUGGUAACAUACCAAAAUUAACUACAUAUUGAACUCUGAUACCAAGUAAUACAAUUCUCAUACCUUGAAACAUCAUUACCGCAGGACUUAGCAACCAAAACAAGCCCAGAAACAGAGUUUUUAGCAAUUGUGGCUCGCUUGUUUUGCGUCCAAUGUUUGCAAGCAUGGAUGUAGAUUCUAGAAAGGCGUCGAGCAGGUGAGUGCACCUUGUGUGCUGAACUCCCAUGCUCUGGCACUACAGAAUACAGUGAAAUCUCCAAAGCGGCAACAUCUCUCAGCUCCUCUUCGAGUUUCUCAAUUCUCAGUUCCAUUUCUUCAAUCUUUUGAUUUAAAUUUGCCUCAUCUAUAUGUUCACCACUUUCUUCAGUAUCAACUGUUUCAUUGUCACUUGCAACACUUUGAGCACCAUUCGAGGUCUCAUCUAAAAGAUCAAUUUCUUUCAUCUCUUCAAUAGGCUUAUUGUCAACUCCUUCAGAAGUUUCAGAUGAAGGUUUAGUAGGAACUUUCAUUUCAUUACAACUUUUACCAGAAGAACUUUUGGUAUUAAUACUCAAAGAACCUCUAUCGGGUUUUGUGGGUUUCUUCGGAGUAUUAGGAAAUCCCUUCAUUUCUCGGCCAGAUCUCACCCUUGAUCCUGGAGAAUCAUUCACUGAAGAAUUUUUAAUCUUGGGAACUGUAGAAGAUUUUUUUACUUUCUCACCCUCAACUGACAAUGAAUCCUCUUGUGAGGAUACAGAAUCUUUCACUGUCUCGGAAUCUGAUACCUCUUCCUUCCCCUGCUUCCCUUGUUUCUCAUAAUCAGUUAACUCUUCCGUUCCAUUGGAUUUAAGAUCUAGAGGCACCUCCUCAAAGCUGUUGAGAUCGUCCACAUAUUUUGUAACACCAUUUUCAUAAACUUCAGAGGCCUCUGUGCCUGCAUUCGUAUCACUUACUGCAUUCCCCGAGUCUCGUCUAGUAAUUGAAGCUUUCGUUUCAAUUUGUUUAGCAUUCAAAUUUUUGCCUCCAUUCUCUUGACGCUGUUUCUGCUCCGUCCUUUCAGUUUUAGCAGACCGCCUUGGUUGUUUAUUAUUUAUCUUCCUCUUAUCAACCUCUUUCAUACUUAAGUUAUUUCACCUUUACCAACUACAAACAAAUAUACAAGUUCUAAUACUGAAGAAGGAACAAAAGCCAAAUAACAGCCCUUACAGAUUGAUGUGAGUUUCUCCCCUCGAAGAAAAAACAGAGCCGAUUCUUCAAUUAAACAACAAACCCUGUAUAAUCUGCAACAAGAUAUCAGACUUGAUGAGCACACAGAGGACACCAGAUGCAUUGUGCGUACAUUCUACGUCGGAAUCAAACGAAGAUUAGCCUACAAAGUAUCACAACUUACAGAUGCUACGUGCUAGGAGGAAAGUAAAACGACAACGUUUCAGAUCCAAUUUCCAAACAUGAUCAACAGAAGUAUUAGCAGUUGAAUAUCAAAAACUGAAACUUAAAGAAUUCUUGAUCUGAUCAUAAUUUAAGAUAAUUAAAGUACAAAUCGUACAAGCGAAACUAUCAACGAAUCAAAGCCAAACAAAACAAACCUGAAACUCGGGAUGAACUAAAGCAGAGCAAAAAACAGCAUAAACAAGUUACACUACAAAUUCACAACAAAGUCAAAACCACGGUCCACAGAAAGCGAAAAUUCAGCGGAACGAGACAAGAUCCAGGCAUGAAAAAUGCUCGGCAUCACGUCAUUUUUUCUUUUUUCUCCCAUAACACUACAAAACAAAGCAUAUGCGCUUCGUUUCGUUUCAUUGCAUUUCACUCGUACGUGGUGUCAAUUUCAGCAUGUCGUUUCGCAAAACGACAACUAACGCAAACAAGAAACGCAGUCAAAAAGUAAAUAAGAAUACAAAGCCGAGUAAUAAAUGCAAGCAUCGAACCUACCAGCAAAAGGCGAUGCCCUUCGGGAUUGCCAUGUCACUUUUUUUCUUUUCUGUACGUUGAAUUGCGUGCGGUGUAGAUUGUUCUGAGAACUGGAAGAGUACGGCAGUUGGCAGAGUGGAGUGAGUUAUAGUGAUGAGUGCGGGAAGAGCGGCAUUUUAAAAACGCUGCUGAUAACUGUGAGGAUGCAGUACGGACGGACGUGGGGUGACCUCGAGAGGGGUGUCGGUGGACGGGAGGGUGACCGGUUGUAGCCGGUUACCACCUGCCGCGUUACUCGUAAGGAUUACCGGUAUACCUAAACUGCCAUCAUUCUCGGAUGUUGAAUUUACCAAACUGUAAUUUUCAGUUAACGAUCGAGCUUCUUAACUGUCGCAGUGAGAGAGAGAGUGACUGUGAUUGGCCAUCUACUUAAAAAAUAAAUUAUAUCAUUGAUUAUCAAAUCAUUAGAAUAUAAUGGCACCCUAAUGUACUGUAGUUGGACUAAGAAUAGAACUAGUAUUGGAUAAAUAUCAAAAUAUUUUUUUAUUUAUUUAAAAAUUUUAUUUGUUUUAUAAUAUAAGUUUUAAAAAAUAUCUAUUAAAAUAAUUUUAUAAUUUUAAUAAAUUUUUUAUUCACAAUUAAAUAACUAAAUGUUUAUAAUAACUCCACUUAAACAACUCUUUUGAGUGUAUGACUCCGAAUUGAAAUUGUGAUGUUUUUCAAGAAUUGAUUAUAAAAUUAUCUCUUAUAAAUUAAAUUUUUAGUUCCGUCUCCCUGGUCUUUGAGUCUUCGGACCCGAACUACAUAAUAGAUACUACAAUUAAGGCAAUAAUAGAAAGGGGCCCAUUAUAUAGGGAGCCAGCUGGCUAUCAGCAAUUGAUUAUCGUCUUCUAGGAGAAUCCUAUAAAAGAUAAAUUGCAUUCAAUUUUUUAAGGGCCUACCAAAUUAUCAAUCCAUCCAUUUUCAAUUCAAGUUAUGAAAGGAAUUGAUUUUGUAGGACUUGUUCUGAGAAUCAAAACUUAGCAUUUGAAAUAAAUGGACACAUGGGGCCCGCAAAUUUACUCGACAACUAUAUAUAUAUAACAUGAUAUUAUUACUUAAAGUACAACUCAUAUUACAUGAGAUUAUAAUUGAUAUUUAUAAAUUAGAUUAUUACUGAGACCAACUUAUAUCAAUGCUUAUGGAGUUCUGUUCAGAUUUUAACCCUCACUAAUAUUCAAGGAAUGUCUACUCUACCUUCAUUCAAUUAUACAAUAUAAUUAAAGAAGAAAAUACCCUCACAUUGUGCUUGUGGGAGUUCAAACUUUCGGUCAGCCGAGUACUUGACAACUUAUAUAAAUAAGUAAUAACUAACAAGAGUUGAAAUUUCGAGCUCUGAUGCUAGAUUUUAAAAGGGCGAGUGGUAGAGCCAUCGAACCCCAUAAAAUAUUUACAAAUCAAAUUAUUAUUGAGACCAAUUUAUAUCAAUGUUUAUGGAAUUCUGUUCAGAUUUUAACCCUCACUAAUAUUCAAGGGAUGUCUACUCUACCUUCACUCAAUUAUACAAUAUAAUUAAAGAAUGAAAUACCCUCACAUUGCGCUCGUGGGCGUUCGAACUUUCCUUCGGCCGAGUACUUGACAACUUAUAUAAAUAAGUAACAACUAGCAAGAGUUAAAAUUUCGAGCUCUAAUGCUAGAUUUUAAAAGGGCGAGUGGCAGAGCCAUCGAACCCCAUAAAAUAUUAUUAAACUUAAUUUUUUCUUCAAUUAUGAAAAAUAAUAAUGUGAAAAUAGUUUAUUCAUAAUUAUGUAAUUAUAAAUCUAUUAAUAUUAGUCUCAAAUAAUAUGAGUUGUAAUUUAAAUAAUAAUCUUAUAUAAUUCAUAAAAAAAUAACUUGUAAGUGCAACUUCCUUCGUUCCUUCUUGUGCACAUGACGAGAUGCGGCUGUAGCAAUGGGUUUAUUUCCUUAGUUAGGAUAUAUAUAUUCCAUCAAAAUAUAUUAAAUCUGCAAGUUCAAAUAGCUUUUUUAAUUUUACAAGAGCCACCCUUUAAUUGAACAAAUCUUUGAUGCUAAAGGCGGUGGUGGAUCUUGUCGUGUGACUUGUAGUCACCGGUAAACGCCGGUAAAAUCUUUCUCGUUGAUAAAAGAACGAGGGUAUUAUCGUAAUUGAACGUUCCUCAGUCUGCAUCACCGACAUUGACGCUCAAUUUCAAUCAGAGGAUGUGGAUUGACCCAAAAGUUGUCUCCAGCCAGUCAGAGGCACAAAGGCAAGCUGACGCUGCUAACCCCCCUGCCUCCCACUAGCAAUUUUUUUAGUAAUUAUUAUAUCAAUUAUU